GCUGGCAGGCUAGUCGGUAGUCCGCGAGCCAUAGUUCCGGCCUCGUCUCCCCCGAGUACUUUGUGAUGGUAGUCGGGGUUCGGAACCGGGUCGAGAACGGCGCCCGUCGUAUGGCCCGGCUGAAAGCCUGCGGACCGGGUGGUUCGGGCGUGGGGCUCUGAUCCUCCCCGCUGUCGUAGCGUCCCCCACGCAUGGGGUGGUGGCCUCGGCGCACCCUCUCGUCAAGGUGGGCUUGACGGUUGCGGUGGCGGUGCUCGUUGCCGAGGCGACCCGGGGCCGCAGGCGCCGUGUUGCGCGUGCGCCCGGUGUGGACCGAGGCUUCCCGCACGAAUCUGGAAGUCGCGGCGCGAUGCUCCGAGGGGUACCCCUGCCUUCGGGAGGCAGAGCUUUCGGCCCGUCGGACCGCGGCAUCCUCCAGGAGAUUCUUGAGCUCUCCCUGGAUACGCCGCCCUUUGGUGGUCGAUGGUUCCGGCAUCGCACGGAGUAGUAUUGCUGCUGUAGCCAGGUUCUGGCCGACCCCACUGGAAACCGGUGGCGGCCUUGUCCUGACGUCGUCGGCAACGUGGUGCUGGAUGCCCUGGGGUAGAUGACGCGCUUCUCCGGCCGGAGCUUGGUUUGCCCAUUCCUGCCCGAUGUUCCGCCGGAACUGCUCAAGUGUUCCUGCUCCCUCGUCGAGCCUGGCCUGCAUCUCGCGGAUUUGCUCGAGCCGUGCGUCCUGACCCCCCGCAGGGACUGGGACCACAGCUAGCUCCCGAAGGAUGUCAAUGCGAGGCGCAGGCCUAGGGGGAUCGUCGUUUUCCAGCACACCAAGAUGGUUGCCUUCACCAGGACCCCCUAGAUCGACGUGGAAACAUUCACGACUUGGGUCGCAGUCCUCGUCGCCGAAGCUUGAAAGGGAAAUGUGCCUUUGGGCCAUUUCUAAGUGUUUUGGUGAUUUAGUGUCCAACACAAGUGCCUAAGUGUAAAAAGGUGGACAAAGUACAAAUCAAGAAUUAAGGUAUGUUUCUCAGACUUAGUACAUUGUUUUAUGGACUAAUGUAUUGUGUCUAAGUGCUGGAAACAGGAAAAAUCCAAUUGGAAAUGUCUUGGCUCGAGCAGCCAAGAAUCUGCUAAGUCUGGGAGCACCGGACUGUCCGGUGGGUCACCGGACUGUCCGGUGGUGCACCGGACAGUGUCCGGUGGUGCACCGGACAGUGUCCGGUGCGCCAGGCUGACUCGGCGUGAACUCGGCGCUCUCGAGAAUUCGCCGACGGCGUACGGCUAAAAUUCACCGGACUGUCCGGUGUGCACCGGACUGUCCGGUGAGCCAACGGUCGGCCGGGCCAACGGUCGGCCGCGCGAUCUGCGCGUGACACGUGGCCGAGCCAACGGCUAGAAGGGGGCACCGGACUGUCCGGUGUGCACCGGACAUGUCCGGUGCACCAACGGAUCUCUGGCGGGCAACGGUCGGCUGCGACAUUUAAGGAAGGUAAUCGGGCACCGGACAGUGUCCGGUGUGCACCGGACUGUCCGGUGCACCCGACGACAGAAGGCAAGAUUGGCCUUCUGGAUUUGCUCUCAAUGGCUCCUAGCUGCCUUGGGGCUAUAAAAGGGACCCCUAGGCACAUGGAGGAGAACACCAAGCAUUCCUACAACAUUCCUAAGCACCAAGACAUCGAUUCCGCGCAUUUGGUUCAUUGUGAUAGCAUCUAGAGCUCUUGUUGUGUUGUGAACUCAUUGAGUGGUGUUGCGAGCUCUUGUUGCGACUUGUGUGCGUGCUGUUGCUCUGAUUUUGAGUCUUGUGUGCGUUGCUAGUUCCCUCCCUUACUCCGUAUUUCUUUGUGAAUCUCAAGUGUAAGGGCGAGAGACUCCAAGUUGUGGAGAUUCCUCACAAACGGGAUAUUGAAAGGAAAAGCAUAACACUGUGGUAUUCAAGUUGAUCAUUGGAUCACUUGAGAGGAGUUGAGUGCAACUCUCGUCCGUUGGGACGCCACAACGUGGAGUAGGCAAGUUUUGUACUUGGCCGAACCACGGGAUAAACCACUGUGUCUUCUCUGUGUUGAUCUUUUGUGGUAUUGUGUUUUGUUGAGACUCAUCUCUAGCCACUUGGCGAUUAUUGUGCUAACACUUAACAAGUUUUUGUGGCUAUAAGUUUAAGUUUCACAGGAUCACCUAUUCACCCCCCCCUCUAGGUGCUCUCAAUUGGUAUCAAAGUCGUUCUCUUCACAAAGGGACUAACCGCCCGAAGAGAUGGAUCCUAAAGGGAAGGGAAUCGUGAUCAAAGACAAGGAGAAGGAGUCCUUCGUCAACGAGCCAAGGGAUGACAAGUCCAACGACUCAGGCUUGGGCCACAGACGCAAAGAUGGGAAGAAGAAGAAGACAAGACGCAUCAAGGAGAUCGUCUACUACGACAGCGAUGAGUCUACUUCCUCCCAAAAGGACGACGACCACAACAAAUAUGAGAGAAAGAAACCGGUCAAUUCGAACUUUUCUUUUGAUUACUCUCGUAUUCCUCAAAGUACUAAUGCUCAUUUAUUAUCUAUUCCACUUGGUAAACCUCCUCAUUUUGAUGGAGAGGACUACGGAUUUUGGAGUCACAAAAUGCGUAGUCACUUGUUCUCUCUCCAUCCUAGCAUAUGGGAGAUUGUAGAAAGUGGAAUGCACUUUGAUAGUACGGAUAGUCCCAUGUUUAUUAAUGAACAGAUUCAUAAAAAUGCACAAGCUACUACUGUGUUGCUAGCCUCUUUGUGCAGGGACGAGUACCAUAAGGUGAGCGGCUUGGACAAUGCCAAGCAGAUCUGGGACACCCUCAAGAUCUCUCAUGAGGGGAAUGAUGUCACCUUGCUCACCAAGAUGGAGUUGGUGGAGGGCGAGCUUGGACGGUUCGCAAUGAUAAGGGGCGAGGAGCCAACUCAAACAUACAACCGGCUCAAGACCUCGUCCGCCUAAUGCUAAGGUCCUUUACCGUUCUUGAUCCUCAUUUGGUGAACAAUAUUCGUGAAAAUCCUAGGUACACCAAGAUGUCGCCCGAAGAAGUUCUGGGGAAGUUCGUAAGCAGGCGAAUGAUGAUCAAGGAGGCAAGAUAUGUGGACGACGCGUUGAACGGUCCUAUUCAUGAGCCUCAACCCAUUGCUCUCAAGGCAACGAGGAGCAAGGAGGCACUACCGAGCAAGGUGGCGCAAGUUGAGGCGGCCGGGCUAAAUAAUGAGGAGAUGGCCCUCAUCAUUAAGCGCUUCAAGACGACGCUUAAAGGUCGCAAGGGACAGCCAAGCAAGACCAAGACAAAGGAGAAGCGCUCAUGCUUCAAAUGUGGUAAGAUUGGUCAUUUCAUUGCUAACUGUCCCGAUAAUGAAAGUGACCAGGAAAAGGGGAACAAAAGGGAGAAGAAGAAGCAUUACAAGAAGGCCAAGGGCGAGGCACAUAUGGGAAAGGAGUGGGAUUCGGAUUGCUCCUCCUCCGACUCCGACAAUGAAGGACUCGCCGCCACCGCCUUCAACAAGUCAUCCCUCUUCCCCAACGAGCGUCACACUUGCCUUGAAUGAGUUGAUUGAUGCUUUGAAUGACAAGAAUAGAUUACUAGAAAAACAAGAGGAUCUUUUAUAUGAGGAGCAUGAUAAAUUUGUUAGUGCACAAAAUUCUCUUGCUCUAGAAAUUAAAAGGAAUGAAAUGCUCUCUAGUGAAUUAUCUACUUGUCAUGAAUCCAUCUCUAAAUUAAAAAGUGUUAAUAAUGAUUUGAAUGCUAAGUUAGAAAUAGCUAGUAAAUCAACAUCUUGUGUAGAAAUUGUUGAAACUUGCAAUAGGUGUAAAGAUUUUGACAUUGAUGCUUGUAGUGAACACCUAGUUUCAAUUUCCAAGCUUAAUGAUGAAUUGGCUAGUCUUAAUGCUCAACUUAAGACUAGCAAGAAUGAUUUUGAUAAGCUAAAAUUUGCAAGGGAUGCCUACACGAUUGGUAGACACCCCUCAAUUAAGGAUGGACUUGGCUUCAAGAGGGAAGCCAAGAACUUAACAAGCCAUAAGGCUCCCAUCUCCACCAAGGAGAAAGGGAAGUCCCCUAUGGCAAGUAGUACAAAAAGGAACCAUGCUUUUAUGUAUCAUGAUAGGAGACAAACUAGAAAUGCUUAUAGGAAUCAUAAUGCUUAUGAUGAUUUUGACUCUCAUGCCAUGUUUGCUUCUAGUUCUUCCUAUAUGCAUGGUAGAAAUAUGUCUAGGAGAAAUGCUAUUCAUCAUGUGCCUAAAAAGAAUAUUAUUCAUGCUCCUAGGAAAGUAGUGAAUGAACCUUCUACAAUUUAUUGUGCUUUAAAUGCUUCCUUUGCUAUUUGUAGAAAGGAUAGGAAAAUAAUUGCUAGGAAGUUAGGGGCAAAAUGCAAGGGAGACAAAACUUGCAUUUGGGUCCCUAAGGAUAUUUGCACUAACCUUAUAGGACCCAACAUGAGUUGGGUACCUAAGACCCAAGCCUAAAUUUGCCUUGCAGGUUUAUGCAUCCGGAGGUUCAAGCUGGAUUAUUGAUAGCGGAUGCACAAACCAUAUGACGGGGGAGAAGAAGAUGUUCACCUCCUACGUCAAGAAUAAGGAUUCCCAAGAUUCAAUUAUAUUCGGUGAUGGGAAUCUAGGCAAGGUAAAAGGGUUAGGUAAAAUUGCAAUUUCUAAUGAGCACUCCAUAUCUAAUGUGUUUUUAGUAGAGUCUCUUGGAUAUAAUUUGCUAUCUGUUAGUCAAUUAUGCAACAUGGGGUAUAACUGUCUAUUUACAAAUGUAGAUGUGUCUGUCUUUAGAAGAAGUGAUGGUUCACUAGCUUUUAAGGGUGUAUUAGACGGCAAACUUUAUUUAGUUGAUUUUGCAAAAGAAGAGGCCGGUCUAGAUGCAUGCUUAAUAGCUAAGACUAGCAUGGGCUGGCUGUGGCAUCGCCGCUUAGCACAUGUGGGGAUGAAGAACCUUCACAAGCUUCUAAAGGGAGAACACGUGAUAGGUUUGACUAACGUGCAAUUCGAAAAAGAUAGACCUUGUGCAGCUUGUCAAGCAGGUAAACAAGUGGGAGGAACGCAUCACAACAAGAAUGUGAUGACCACUUCAAGACCCCUGGAGCUGCUGCAUAUGGACCUCUUCGGACCUGUCGCCUAUCUGAGCAUAGGAGGGAGUAAGUAUGGUCUAGUUAUUGUUGAUGACUUUUCCCGCUUCACUUGGGUGUUCUUUUUGCAGGAUAAGUCUGAAACCCAAGGGACCCUCAAGCGCUUCCUCAGGAGAGCUCAAAAUGAGUUUGAGCUCAAGGUGAAGAAGAUUAGGAGCGACAACGGGUCCGAGUUCAAGAACCUUCAAGUAGAGGAAUUCCUUGAGGAGGAAGGGAUCAAGCACGAGUUAUCCGCUCCCUACACGCCACAGCAAAAUGGUGUGGUAGAGAGGAAGAACAGGACGCUCAUCGAUAUGGCGAGGACGAUGCUAGGAGAGUUCAAGACCCCCGAGUGCUUUUGGACGGAAGCCGUGAACACGGCUUGCCACGCCAUCAACAGGGACUACCUUCAUCGCCUCCUCAAGAAGACGUCGUAUGAGCUUCUAACCGGUAACAAACCCAAUGUAUCUUACUUUCGUGUAUUUGGGAGCAAAUGCUACAUUCUAGUGAAGAAGGGUAGAAAUUCUAAGUUUGCUCCCAAAGCUGUAGAAGGGUUUUUGUUAGGUUAUGACUCAAAUACAAAGGCGUAUAGAGUCUUCAACAAAUCAUCGGGUUUGGUUGAAGUCUCUAGCGACGUUGUAUUUGAUGAGACUAAUGGCUCUCCAAGAGAGCAAGUUGUUGAUUGUGAUGAUGUAGAUGAAGAAGAUGUUCCGUCGGCCGCUAUACGAACCAUGGCGAUUGGAGAAGUGCGGCCACAGGAACAAGAUGAACGAGAUCAACCUUCUUCCUCAACAACGGUGCAUCCCCCAACUCAAGACGAUGAACAGGUUCAUCAACAUGAGGCGUGUAAUCAAGGGGGAGCACAAGAUGAUCAUGCGAUGGAGGAAGAAGCGCAACCGGCACCUCCAACCCAAGUUCGAGCGGUGAUUCAAAGGGAUCAUCCCGUCGACCAAAUAUUGGGUGACAUUAGUAAGGGAGUAACUACUCGAUCACGAUUAGUUAAUUUUUGUGAGCAUUACUCCUUUGUCUCUUCUAUUGAGCCUUUCAGGGUAGAGGAGGCCUUGCUAGAUCCGGAUUGGGUAUUGGCCAUGCAGGAGGAACUCAACAACUUCAAGCGCAAUGAAGUUUGGACACUGGUGCCUCGUCCCAAGCAAAAUGUUGUGGGAACCAAGUGGGUGUUCCGCAACAAACAGGACGAGCACGGGGUGGUGACGAGGAACAAGGCUCGACUUGUGGCAAAAGGUUAUGCCCAAGUCGCAGGUUUGGACUUUGAGGAGACGUUUGCUCCUGUGGCUAGGCUAGAAUCAAUUCGUAUCUUGCUAGCAUAUGCCGCUCACCAUUCUUUCAGGUUGUUCCAAAUGGAUGUGAAGAGCGCUUUCCUCAACGGGCCAAUCAAGGAGGAGGUGUACGUGGAGCAACCCCCUGGCUUCGAGGAUGAACGGUACCCCGACCACGUGUGUAAGCUCUCUAAGGCGCUCUAUGGACUUAAGCAAGCCCCAAGAGCAUGGUAUGAAUGCCUUAGAGACUUUCUAAUUGUUAAUGCUUUCAAGGUUGGGAAAGCCGAUCCAACUCUUUUUACUAAGACAUGUGAUGGUGAUUUGUUUGUGUGCCAAAUUUAUGUUGAUGACAUAAUAUUUGGUUCUACUAACCAAAAGUCUUGUGAAGAGUUUAGCAGGGUGAUGACGCAGAAAUUCGAGAUGUCGAUGAUGGGCGAGUUGAACUACUUCCUUGGGUUCCAAGUGAAGCAACUCAAAGACGGCACCUUCAUCUCCCAAACGAAGUACACGCAAGAUCUGCUAAAGCGGUUUGGGAUGAAGGACGCUGAAAGGGAAUUAGGCUUACACCUAGUUCCUAAAUAAUUUUGGUGGUUGAAUUGCCCAACACAAAUAAUUGGACUAACUAGUUUGCCCAAGUGUGUAGAUUAUACAGGUGUAAAAGGUUCACCCUCAGUCAAUAAAAAGACCAAGUUUUGGAUUCAAUAAAGGAGCAAAGGGGCAACCGAAGGCACCCCUGGUCUGGCGCACCGGACUGUCCGGUGUGCCACCGGACAGUGAACAGUACCUGUCCGGUGCACCAGGGGACUCAGACUCAAACUCGCCACCUUCGGGAAUUUCCAGGGCGACUCGGCUAUAAUUCACCGGACUGUCCGGUGUACACCGGACAGUGUCCGGUGCGCCAAGGGAGGUCGGCCUCAGGAACUCGCCAGCUUCGGGAAACGCCAACGGCUAGCCCGCUAAAAUUCACCGGACUGUCCGGUGUGCACCGGACUGUCCGGUGCGACUCCGAAGCAACGGUCAUCUCCGCGCCAACGGCUCUCUGCCGCGCAUUAAAUGCGCGCUCUGCGCGCGCAGAAGUCAGAAUCGCCCAUGCUGGCACACCGGACAUCAAACAGUACCUGUCCGGUGUGCACCGGACACCCAGGCGGGCCCACAAGUCAGAAGCUCCAACGGUCAGAAUCCAACGGCAGUGAUGACGUGGCAGGGGGCACCGGACUGUCCGGUGUGCACCGGACUGUCCGGUGCGCCAUCGAACAAACAGCCUUCCAACGGCCACUUUUGGUGGUUGGGGCUAUAAAUACCCCAACCACCCCACCAUUCAUUGCAUCCAAGUUUUCCACUUCUCAACUACUACAAGAGCUCUAGCAUUCAAUUCUAGACACACUAAAGAGAUCAAAUCCUCUCCAAUUCCACACAAAGCCCUAGUGACUAGUGAGAGUGAUUUGCCGUGUUCAUUUGAGCUCUUGCGCUUGGAUUGCUUCUUUUCUUUCUCACUUGUUCUUGAGAUCACAACUCCAUUGUAAUCAAGGCAAGAGGCACCAAUUGUGUGGUGGCCCUUGCGGGGAAGUUUUGUUCCCGGCUUUGAUUUGAGAAGAGAAGCUCACUCGGUCCAAGGGACCGUUUGAGAGAGGGAAGGGUUGAAAGAGACCCGGCCUUUGUGGCCUCCUCAACGGGGAGUAGGUUUGCAAGAACCGAACCUCGGUAAAACAAAUCUCCGUGUCUCACUUGCUUAUUCGCUUGGGAUUUGUUUUGCGCCCUCUCUCUCGGACUCGUUUAUAUUUCUAACGCUAACCCGGCUUGUAGUUGUGUUUAUAUUUGUAAAUAACAGUUUCGCCCUAUUCACCCCCCCUCUAGGCGACUAUCAAUUGGUAUCAAAGCCCGGUGCUUCUUUAGAGCCUAACCGCUCGAAGUGAUGUCGGGAGAUCACGCCAAGAAGGAGAUGGAGACCGGCGAAAAGCCCACUACAAGCCACGGGAGCACUUCAUCGGAAGAGUCCCGCACCAAAAGGAGGGAGAAGAAGAAGAGCUCCUCCAACAAAGGGAAAGAGAAGAAAUCUUCUUCUCACCACAAAGAGAAGAAGGAAAAAUCUUCUUCCCACAAGCCGCAUCGGAAAGGCGACAAGCACAAGAGGAUGAGGAAGGUGGUCUACUACGAGACCGACACUUCAUCAACAUCGACCUCCGACUCCGAUGCGCCCUCCGUCACUUCUAAGCGCCAAGAGCGCAAGAAGUAUAGUAAGAUCCCCCUACGCUACCCUCGCAUUUCCAAACAUACACCUUUACUUUCCGUCCCAUUAGGCAAACCACCAACUUUUGAUGGUGAAGAUUACGCUAGGUGGAGCGAUUUAAUGCGAUUUCAUCUAACCUCGCUCCACAAAAGUAUAUGGGAUGUUGUUGAGUUUGGUGCACAGGUACCAUCGGUAGGGGAUGAAAACUAUGAUGAGGAUGAGGUGGCCCAAAUCGAGCACUUUAACUCUCAAGCAACAACAAUACUCCUCGCCUCUCUAAGUAGAGAGGAGUAUAACAAAGUACAAGGGUUGAAGAGCGCCAAGGAGAUUUGGGAUGUGCUCAAAACCGCGCACGAAGGAGACGAACUCACCAAGAUCACCAAGCGGGAAACGAUCGAGGGGGAGCUCGGUCGGUUCCGGCUUCGCAAAGGGGAGGAGCCACAACACAUGUACAACCGGCUCAAGACCUUGGUGAAUCAAGUGCGCAACCUCGGGAGCGUAAAAUGGGAUGACCACGAGAUGGUUAAGGUUAUUCUAAGUUCUCUUAUUUUCCUUAACCCUACUCAAGUUCAAUUAAUCCGUGGUAAUCCUAGAUAUACUAAAAUGACCCCCGAGGAAGUUAUCGGGAAUUUUGUGAGUUUUGAAUGCAUGAUCGAAGGCUCGAGGAAGAUCAACGAGCUUGAUGAUGCCACCACAUCCGAAGCUCAACCCGUUGCAUUCAAAGCAACGGAGGAGAAGAAGGAGGAGUCUACACCAAGUCGACAACCAAUCGACGCCUCCAAGCUUGACAAUGAGGAGAUGGCGCUCGUCAUCAAGAGCUUCCGCCAAAUCCUCAAACAAAGGAGGGGGAAAGACUACAAGUCCCGCUCCAAGAAGGUUUGCUACAAAUGUGGUAAGCCCGGUCAUUUUAUUGCUAAAUGUCCUAUAUCUAGUGACAGUGACCGAGGCGACGACAAGAAGGGGAGAAGAAAGGAGAAGAAAAGGUACUACAAGAAGAAGGGCGGCGAUGCCCAUGUUUGUCAGGAAUGGGAUUCCGACGAGAGCUCAAGCGACUCCUCCGACGACGAGGACGCCGCCAACAUCGCCGUCACCAAGGGACUUCUCUUCCCCAACGUCGGCCACAAGUGCCUCAUGGCAAAGGACGGCAAAAAGAAGGUUAAAUCUAAAUCCUCCACAAAAUAUGAAUCCUCUAGUGAUGACAAUGCUAGUGAUGAGGAAGAUAAUUUGCGUACUCUUUUUGCCAACCUUAACAUGGAACAAAAAGAGAAAUUAAAUGAAUUGAUUAGUGCUAUUCAUGAAAAAGAUGAUCUUUUGGACUCCCAAGAGGAUUGUCUAAUUAAAGAAAACAAGAAACAUGUUAAGGUUAAAAAGGCUUAUGCUCUAGAAGUAGAAAAAUGUGAAAAAUUAUCUAGUGAGCUAAGCACUUGCCGUGAGAUGAUUGACAACCUUAGGAAUGAAAAUGCUGUUUUAAAUGCUAAGGUUGAUUCACAUGUUUGUAAUGUUUCAAUUCCCAAUCUUAGAGAUGAUAAUGUUGACUUGCUUGCUAAGAUUGAUGAAUUGAAUGUAUCUAUUGCUAGCCUUAGAUUAGAGAAUGAAAAUUUAAUUGCUAAGGCUAAAGAUUUUGAUGUUUGCAAAGUUACAAUUUCCAAUCUUAAAGAUAAAAAUGAUAUUCUUCAUGCUAAGAUUGUGGAACUUGAUUCUUGCAAACCCUCUACAUCUACCAUUGAGCAUGUCACUAUUUGUGCUAGAUGUAGAGAUAUUGAUGUUAAUGUUAUUCAUGAUCACAUGAUCUUAAUUAAGCAACAAAAUGAUCAUAUAGCUAAACUUGAUGCUAAAAUUGCCGAGCACAACUUAGAAAAUGAGAAAUUUAAAUUUGCUCGUAGCAUGCUUUAUAAUGGGAGACGCCCUGGCAUUAAGGAUGGCAUUGGCUUCCAAAGGGGAGACAAUGUCAAAAUUAGUGCCCCUCCUAAAAGAUUGUCUAAUUUUGUUAAGGGCAAGGCUCCCAUGCCUCAGGAUAACGAGGGUUACAUUUUAUACCCUGCCGGUUAUCCCGAGGACAAAAUUAGGAAAAUUCAUUCUAGGAAGUCUCACUCUGGUUCUAACCAUGCUUUUAUGUAUAAGAGUGAGACAUCUAGUUCUAGGCAACCAACCCGUGCCAAGUUGCCUAAGAAGAAAAUUCCUAAUGCAUCAAAUGAUCAUGCCAUUUCUUUUAAAACUUUUGAUGCUUCUUAUGUGCUUACUAACAAAUCCGGCAAGGUCGUUGCCAAGUUUGUUGGGGGCAAACACAAGGGCUCCAAGACUUGUGUCUGGGUACCCAAAGUUCUUGUUUCUAAUGCCAAAGGACCCAAAACAGUUUGGGUACCUAAAGUCAAGAACUAAAUUUGUUUUGUAGGUUUAUGCAUCCGGGGGCUCAAGUUGGAUACUCGACAGCGGGUGCACAAACCACAUGACCGGGGAGAAAAGGAUGUUCUCCUCAUAUGAGAAAAACCAAGAUCCCCAACGAGCUAUCACAUUCGGGGAUGGAAAUCAAGGUUUGGUCAAAGGAUUGGGUAAAAUUGCUAUAUCUCCUGACCAUUCUAUUUCCAAUGUUUUUCUUGUAGAUUCUUUAGAUUACAACUUGCUUUCUGUUUCCCAAUUAUGUCAAAUGGGCUACAACUGUCUUUUUACUGAUGUAGGUGUCACUGUCUUUAGAAGAAGUGAUGAUUCAAUAGCAUUUAAGGGUGUGUUAGAGGGUCAGCUAUACUUAGUAGAUUUUGAUAGAGCUGAACUUGACACAUGCUUAAUUGCUAAGACUAACAUGGGUUGGCUCUGGCACCGCCGACUAGCCCAUGUUGGGAUGAAGAAUCUUCAUAAGCUUCUAAAGGGAGAGCACAUUUUAGGAUUAACAAAUGUUCAUUUUGAGAAAGACAGGAUUUGUAGCGCAUGCCAGGCAGGGAAGCAAGUUGGAGUCCAUCAUCCACACAAGAACAUCAUGACGACCGACAGGCCGCUUGAGCUACUCCACAUGGAUCUAUUCGGCCCGAUUGCUUACAUAAGCAUCGGCGGGAGUAAGUAUUGUCUUGUUAUUGUGGAUGAUUAUUCUCGCUUCACUUGGGUAUUCUUUUUACAGGAAAAAUCUCAAACCCAAGAGACCUUAAAGGGAUUCUUGAGAAGGGCUCAAAAUGAGUUCGGCUUAAGGAUCAAGAAAAUAAGAAGCGACAACGGGACGGAGUUCAAGAACUCACAAAUUGAAGGCUUCCUUGAGGAGGAGGGCAUCAAGCAUGAGUUCUCCUCUCCCUACACGCCACAACAAAAUGGUGUAGUGGAGAGAAAGAAUCGAACUCUAUUGGACAUGGCAAGAACCAUGCUUGAUGAGUACAAGACACCGGACCGGUUUUGGGCCGAAGCAGUCAACACCGCCUGCUACGCCAUCAACCGGUUAUAUCUUCACCGAAUCCUCAAGAAGACAUCAUAUGAACUCCUAACCGGUAAAAAGCCCAACAUUUCAUACUUUAGAGUUUUUGGUAGCAAAUGCUUUAUUCUUGUUAAAAGAGGUAGAAAAUCUAAAUUUGCUCCUAAAACUGUAGAAGGCUUUUUACUUGGUUAUGACUCAAACACAAGGGCAUAUAGGGUCUUUAACAAGUCCACUGGACUAGUUGAAGUCUCAUGUGACGUUGUGUUUGAUGAAACUAACGGCUCUCAAGUAGAGCAAGUUGAUCUUGAUGAGAUAGGUAAUGAAGAGGCUCCAUGCAUAGCGCUAAGGAACAUGUCCAUUGGGGACGUGUGUCCUAAGGAAUCCGAAGAGCCUUCAAGAGCACAAGAUCAACCAUCCUCCACCACGCAAGCAUCUCCACCAACUCAAAAUGAUGAUGAGGCUCAAGUUGAUGAAGGACAAAAUCAAGAAGAUAAGCCACCUCAAGAUGAUGGCAAUGAUCAAGGGGGAGAUGCAAAUGAUCAAGAAAAGGAGGAUGAGGAAGAACCAAGGCCGCCACACCCAAGAGUCCACCAAGCAAUCCAACGAGAUCACCCCGUCGACACCAUCCUCGGCGACAUUCAUAAGGGGGUAACCACUCGAUCUCGUGUUGCACAUUUUUGUGAACAUUACUCUUUUGUUUCCUCUAUUGAGCCACACAGGAUAGAGGAAGCAUUACAAGAUUCGGAUUGGGUGGUGGCGAUGCAAGAGGAGCUCAACAAUUUCACAAGAAACGAGGUAUGGCACUUAGUUCCACGUCCUAACCAAAAUGUUGUAGGAACCAAAUGGGUCUUCCGCAACAAGCAAGAUGAGCAUGGUGUGGUGACAAGGAACAAAGCUCGACUUGUGGCCAAAGGAUACUCCCAAGUCGAAGGUUUGGAUUUCGGUGAAACUUAUGCACCCGUAGCUAGGCUUGAGUCAAUUCGCAUAUUAUUAGCCUAUGCUACUUACCAUGGCUUUAAGCUUUAUCAAAUGGACGUGAAAAGUGCUUUCCUCAAUGGACCAAUCAAGGAAGAGGUCUAUGUUGAGCAACCUCCCGGCUUUGAAGACAGUGAGUACCCUAACCAUGUCUAUAGGCUCUCUAAGGCGCUUUAUGGGCUCAAGCAAGCCCCAAGAGCAUGGUAUGAAUGCCUAAGAGAUUUCCUUAUUUCUAAUGGCUUCAAAGUCGGCAAGGCCGAUCCUACACUCUUUACUAAAACUCUUGAAAAUGACUUGUUUGUAUGCCAAAUUUAUGUUGAUGAUAUUAUAUUUGGGUCUACUAACGAGUCUACAUGUGAAGAGUUUAGUAGGAUCAUGACACAGAAAUUCGAGAUGUCGAUGAUGGGGGAGUUGAAAUAUUUUCUAGGAUUCCAAGUCAAGCAACUCCAAGAGGGCACCUUCAUUUGCCAAACGAAGUACACUCAAGACAUUCUAACCAAGUUUGGAAUGAAGGAUGCCAAGCCCAUCAAGACACCCAUGGGAACCAAUGGGCAUCUCGACCUCGACACGGGAGGUAAAUCCGUCGAUCAAAAGGUAUACCGGUCGAUGAUUGGUUCAUUGCUUUAUUUAUGUGCAUCUCGACCGGAUAUUAUGCUUUCCGUUUGCAUGUGUGCAAGAUUUCAAUCCGACCCUAAGGAAUCCCACCUUACGGCCGUAAAACGAAUCUUGAGAUAUUUAGCUUAUACUCCUAAGUUUGGGCUUUGGUAUCCUCGGGGAUCCACUUUUGAUUUGAUUGGUUAUUCGGAUGCCGAUUGGGCAGGGUGUAAGAUUAAUAGGAAGAGCACAUCGGGGACUUGCCAGUUCUUGGGAAGAUCCUUGGUGUCUUGGGCUUCAAAGAAGCAAAAUUCGGUCGCUCUUUCCACCGCCGAAGCCGAGUACAUUGCCGCAGGCCAUUGUUGCGCGCAAUUGCUUUGGAUGAGGCAAACCCUGCGGGACUACGGUUACAAAUUAACCAAAGUUCCUUUACUAUGUGAUAAUGAGAGUGCAAUCAAAAUGGCCGACAACCCCGUCGAGCAUAGCCGCACUAAAAAUAUAGCCAUUCGGUAUCAUUUUCUUAGGGAUCACCAACAAAAGGGAGAUAUCGAGAUUUCUUACAUUAACACUAAAGAUCAAUUAGCCGAUAUCUUUACCAAGCCUCUUGAUGAACAAUCUUUUACCAGACUUAGGCAUGAGCUCAAUAUUCUUGAUUCUAGAAAUUUCUUUUGCUAGCUUGCACACAUAGCUCAUUUGAAUACCUUUGAUUAUAUCUCUUUUAUAUGCUAUGACUAAUGUGUCUUCAAGUCUAUUUCAAACCAAGUCAUAGGUAUAUUGAAAGGGAAUUGGAGUCUUCGGCAAAGACAAAGGCUUCCACUCCGUAACUCAUACUUCGCCAUCACUCCAAGCAUCUCUCUAUUCUUUGGGGAGAAAUGAGAAUUCAAAGCAAAAGGACUUCGUCUUUGGUAUAAUCUUAACUCAUUCACUUAUGACCAAAGGGGAAGAUAGUACCUAAGGGCUCUAAUGACUCCGUUUUUGGCGAUUCAUGCCAAAAAGGGGGAGAAAUGAGCCCAAAGCAAAAGGACCGCACCACCACCACCAAAUUCAAAAACUUAGUGUUUUCCAAAAGUAUUUAUCAAUUGAUAUCCUAUUAUGUUCAAAAGGGGGAUUUCAAAAAUCUUACAUCAAAACCCUCUUGAACACUAAGAGGAGGAUUAAAUUUAGGGGGAGUUUUGUUUAGUCAAAGGAAAAGCAUUUGAAACAGAGGGAGAAAAUUUCAAAUCUUGAAAAUGCUUUGCAAACUCUUAUUCAUUUACCUUUGACUAUUUGCAAAAGAUCUUUGAAAUGAAUUUACAAAAAAAAAUUUCAAAAACAAAACAUGUGGUGCAAACGUGGUCCAAAAUACUAAAUAAGAAAGAAACAUUCCAUGCAUAUCUUGUAAGUAGUUAUAUUGGCUCAAUUCCAAGCAACCUUUACACUUACAUUAUGCAAACUAGUUCAAUUAUGCACAUCUCUGUUUGCUUUGGUUUGUGCUGGCAUCAAUCACCAAAAAGGGGGAGAUUGAAAGGGAAUUAGGCUUACACCUAGUUCCUAAAUAAUUUUGGUGGUUGAAUUGCCCAACACAAAUAAUUGGACUAACUAGUUUGCCCAAGUGUGUAGAUUAUACAGGUGUAAAAGGUUCACCCUCAGCCAAUAAAAGACCAAGUUUUGGAUUCAAUAAAGGAGCAAAGGGGCAACCGAAGGCACCCCUGGUCUGGCGCACCGGACUGUCCGGUGUGCCACCGGACAGUGAACAGUACCUGUCCGGUGCACCAGGGGACUCAGACUCAAACUCGCCACCUUCGGGAAUUUCCAGGGCGACUCGGCUAUAAUUCACCGGACUGUCCGGUGUACACCGGACAGUGUCCGGUGCGCCAAGGGAGGUCGGCCUCAGGAACUCGCCAGCUUCGGGAAACGCCAACGGCUAGCCCGCUAAAAUUCACCGGACUGUCCGGUGUGCACCGGACUGUCCGGUGCGACUCCGAAGCAACGGUCAUCUCCGCGCCAACGGCUCUCUGCCGCGCAUUAAAUGCGCGCUCUGCGCGCGCAGAAGUCAGAAUCGCCCAUGCUGGCACACCGGACAUCAAACAGUACCUGUCCGGUGUGCACCGGACACCCAGGCGGGCCCACAAGUCAGAAGCUCCAACGGUCAGAAUCCAACGGCAGUGAUGACGUGGCAGGGGGCACCGGACUGUCCGGUGUGCACCGGACUGUCCGGUGCGCCAUCGAACAGACAGCCUUCCAACGACCACUUUUGGUGGUUGGGGCUAUAAAUACCCCAACCACCCCACCAUUCAUUGCAUCCAAGUUUUCCACUUCUCAACUACUACAAGAGCUCUAGCAUUCAAUUCUAGACACACUAAAGAGAUCAAAUCCUCUCCAAUUCCACACAAAGCCCUAGUGACUAGUGAGAGUGAUUUGCCGUGUUCAUUUGAGCUCUUGCGCUUGGAUUGCUUCUUUUCUUUCUCACUUGUUCUUGAGAUCACAACUCCAUUGUAAUCAAGGCAAGAGGCACCAAUUGUGUGGUGGCCCUUGCGGGGAAGUUUUGUUCCCGGCUUUGAUUUGAGAAGAGAAGCUCACUCGGUCCAAGGGACCGUUUGAGAGAGGGAAGGGUUGAAAGAGACCCGGCCUUUGUGGCCUCCUCAACGGGGAGUAGGUUUGCAAGAACCGAACCUCGGUAAAACAAAUCUCCGUGUCUCACUUGCUUAUUCGCUUGGGAUUUGUUUUGCGCCCUCUCUCUCGGACUCGUUUAUAUUUCUAACGCUAACCCGGCUUGUAGUUGUGUUUAUAUUUGUAAAUAACAGUUUCGCCCUAUUCACCCCCCCUCUAGGCGACUAUCAGAUGCCAAGCCCGCAAAGACUCCGAUGGGGACCGACGGACACACCGACCUCAACAAAGGAGGUAAGUCCGUUGAUCAAAAAGCAUACCGGUCAAUGAUAGGGUCUUUACUUUAUUUAUGUGCUAGUAGACCGGAUAUUAUGCUUAGCGUAUGCAUGUGUGCUAGAUUUCAAUCCGAUCCUAAGGAGUGUCACUUAGUGGCGGUAAAGCGAAUUCUAAGAUAUUUGGUUGCUACGCCUUGCUUCGGGCUCUGGUAUCCAAAAGGGUCUACCUUUGACUUGGUUGGAUACUCAGAUUCCGACUAUGCUGGAUGUAAAGUCGAUAGGAAGAGUACAUCAGGGACGUGCCAAUUCUUAGGAAGGUCCCUGGUGUCGUGGAACUCUAAGAAACAAACUUCUGUUGCCCUAUCCACCGCUGAGGCCGAGUAUGUUGCCGCAGGACAGUGUUGCGCGCAACUACUUUGGAUGAGGCAAACCCUCCGGGACUUUGGCUACAAUCUGAGCAAAGUCCCACUCCUAUGUGACAAUGAGAGUGCUAUCCGCUUGGCGGAAAAUCCUGUUGAACACAGCCGCACAAAGCACAUUGACAUCCGGCAUCACUUUUUGAGAGACCACCAGCAAAAGGGAGAUAUCGAAGUGUUUCAUGUUAGCACCGAGAACCAGCUAGCCGAUAUCUUUACCAAGCCUCUAGAUGAGAAGACCUUUUGCAGGCUGCGUAGUGAGCUAAAUGUCUUAGAUUCGCGGAACUUGGAUUGAAUUGUAGCAUACAUGUGUUUAUGCCUUUGAUCAUGUUCAUUCUGCAUUGUGUUGCUUAUUAUGGUGCUCAAGUUGUACAAGCACUCCCCGGACCUCACAAGUCCUUGUGCCAGUAAUGCACAUAUUUAGGGGGAGAUGUGUUACAACUUGACCCUUUGAGACUAACCGUUUGGUUGAGUUUGAUUGUUUUAGUCUCAAAGGAGGUUUGAAAGGGAAAGGUGGACUUGGACCGUGAAAGACUUCCACUGCACUCCGAUGAGAGGGUAACUUAUUCCAAGUUCAUCUUUAAACUCUUAUUGCCUAUUUGCUCUUAAUUGAAGAUUUUGGUGAGGCAAUGGGGUUAAAGGGCCAAGAUUGAUCCCGUUUUGGUGCUUGAUGCCAAAGGGGGAGAAAAUAAAGGCCAAAGCAAUAAAUGGAUCAGCUACCACUUGAGAAACUUUGAAAAAACAGUAGAAUAGAGCUUUUGGUUUGUCAAAACUCUUGCAUUGUCUCUUUUGUCAAAAGUUGGCCUCUUGUGGGGAGAAGUGUUGAUUAUGUCUCUUUUGUCAAAAGUUGGCCUCUUGUGGGGAGAAGUGUUGAUUAUGGGAAAAAGGGGGAGUUUUUGGAAUCUUGAAUCAAUUUUCUUUGGAAAACCUCUCUUUAUGUCUCUACAAGUGGAUUUGACUUAGAGAUAGGAUUUUGAGUUUGUUUUGCAAAAACAAACCAAGUGGUGGCAAAGAAUGAUCCAUAUAUGCCAAAUAGAAUCAAAACAAUUUUGAGUUCUUAUUUGAUUUGAUUUUGUACUUGUUCUACUUGCUUUAUGUUGUGUUGGCAUAAAUCACCAAAAAGGGGGAGAUUGAAAGGGAAAUGUGCCUUUGGGCCAUUUCUAAGUGUUUUGGUGAUUUAGUGUCCAACACAAGUGCCUAAGUGUAAAAAGGUGGACAAAGUACAAAUCAAGAAUUAAGGUAUGUUUCUCAGACUUAGUACAUUGUUUUAUGGACUAAUGUAUUGUGUCUAAGUGCUGGAAACAGGAAAAAUCCAAUUGGAAAUGUCUUGGCUCGAGCAGCCAAGAAUCUGCUAAGUCUGGGAGCACCGGACUGUCCGGUGGGUCACCGGACUGUCCGGUGGUGCACCGGACAGUGUCCGGUGCGCCAGGCUGACUCGGCGUGAACUCGGUGCUCUCGGGAAUUCGCCGACGGCGUACGGCUAAAAUUCACCGGACUGUCCGGUGUGCACCGGACUGUCCGGUGAGCCAACGGUCGGCCGGGCCAACGGUCGGCCGCGCGAUCUGCGCGUGACACGUGGCCGAGCCAACGGCUAGAAGGGGGCACCGGACUGUCCGGUGUGCACCGGACAUGUCCGGUGCGCCAACGGCUCUCUGGCGGGCAACGGUCGGCUGCGACAUUUAAGGAAGGUAACCGGGCACCGGACAGUGUCCGGUGUGCACCGGACUGUCCAAUGCACCCGACGACAGAAGGCAAGAUUGGCCUUCUGGAUUUGCUCUCAACGGCUCCUAGCUGCCUUGGGGCUAUAAAAGGGACCCCUAGGCACAUGGAGGAGAACACCAAGCAUUCCUACAACAUUCCUAAGCACCAAGACAUCGAUUCCGCGCAUUUGGUUCAUUGUGAUAGCAUCUAGAGCUCUUGUUGUGUUGUGAACUCAUUGAGUGGUGUUGCGAGCUCUUGUUGCGACUUGUGUGCGUGCUGUUGCUCUGAUUUUGAGUCUUGUGUGUGUUGCUAGUUCCCUCCCUUACUCCGUAUUUCUUUGUGAAUCUCAAGUGUAAGGGCGAGAGACUCCAAGUUGUGGAGAUUCCUCGCAAACGGGAUAUUGAAAGGAAAAGCAUAACACUGUGGUAUUCAAGUUGAUCAUUGGAUCACUUGAGAGGAGUUGAGUGCAACUCUCGUCCGUUGGGACGCCACAACGUGGAGUAGGCAAGUUUUGUACUUGGCCGAACCACGGGAUAAACCACUGUGUCUUCUCUGUGUUGAUCUUUUGUGGUAUUGUGUUUUGUUGAGACUCAUCUCUAGCCACUUGGCGAUUAUUGUGCUAACACUUAACAAGUUUUUGUGGCUAUAAGUUUAAGUUUCACAGGAUCACCUAUUCACCCCCCCCCUCUAGGUGCUCUCAAGUGUUCCUGCUCCCUCGUCGAGCCUGGCCUGCAUCUCGCGGAUUUGCUCGAGCCGUGCGUCCUGACCCCCCGCAGGGACUGGGACCACAGCUAGCUCCCGAAGGAUGUCAACGCGAGGCGCAGGCCUAGGGGGAUCGUCGUUUUCCAGCACACCAAGAUGGUUGCCUUCACCAGGACCCCCUAGAUCGACGUGGAAACAUUCACGACUUGGGUCGCAGUCCUCGUCGCCGAAGCUGCAGCUACCAUCGGAACAAUCGGAGAGGCAGUAGUCGCAUGCGGUCAUAAAGUCUCGCAUGGCACUGGGGUUACCGAGCCCGGAGAAAUCCCAACAAAAGUCGGGCUCGUCAUCUUCCUCAGAACCCGAGGGUCCGUAGGUCGAGACGGUCGUCAGUCUGUCCCAGGGCGACCGCAUACGGUACCCCGGAGGGUUGGUACAUGCCUCUAUGAAAGCUUCCACCGAAGCGGGGUCGCUUGGUGGGUCGAAGCUGAAUCCAAAAGGCACGAGAUGGGAAUCGGUCGGUACCUUUUGGUCGAUGGGCAGUGACGAAGUCGCGUCAGGGGCAGACUGCACCGUUGUCUCAGGUACGAGGGUGACGCCCAGCAAGUCCUUCGCGAGCGUGCUGGCGUCGUUCGUCUGCUUGGGGUUGGCGUGUUGCGGGGAAACGGCGCUCGUCUUCGUCUCAGACGCAAGGUCGAAGCCCGACGUGUCCCCCGCUGGGGCGCUGGCGUCGUCGACUUGCUCGACAUCCGACGAGGUGCCGCCUCCUGCUUGGCCAUGGUUGCCCCGCCUCCUCCUCCGUCGGCGGGGGAGGUGACGGGACAAACCCGGAUGUUGUUCUUCCGCCAUGUGGGGAAGACGUCGUUGAUUCCGCCGCCGGCGGGCGGGCUGACGACCGCCAUUGUCGCUGUCGCGCGGCGGAGGAAGGAGUAUCAUGUCAUAGCUGCCGUCGAGGGACAUGAACUCAAGACUCCCGAAACAGAGCAUCGUCCCGGGUUGGAAAGGUUGCUGGAGACUACCCAUCUGGAGCUCGACGGGAAGCUGUUCAUCAACACGCAGCAGGCCCCUACCUGGCGCGCCAACUGUCGGCGUUUCGACCCCGGGAGGGUCCCUGGACCGAUGAGUGAAUUAUCGCCGCGUGUCCCAGCCCAGAUGGGUCGGCGCGAGACGGAGCAUGAAGGGGGGAAGAAACAGGCAAAGGGGAAACUCGCGGCCUUCGUGUUGCCCUGCGCCCAGGUCGGGUGCGCUUGCAGUAGGGGGUUACAAGCGUUCGCGUGGGAGAGAGAGAGAGAGAGCGAGAGCCUUAUGCGCCGGCCCGUUCUCCCGCGCGGCCAACCUUCUCGUACGAGAGCCCUGGACCUUCCUUUUAUAGGCGCAAGGAGAGGGUCCAGGUGUACAAUGGGGGGUGUAGCAGUGUGCUAAUGUGUCUAGCAGAGAGGAGCUAGAGCCCUAAGUACAUGCAGUCGGAGAGGUUUUGGCACCCUGUUCAUGUGAUGUCGUGGCCGUCGGAGGAGAGCUGGAGCCCUGCGGAAGGACAGCUGUCGGGGCUGUCGAGUCCUUGCUGACGUCUCCUUGCUUCCGUAAGGGGCUAAGAGCCGCCGUCGUCAUGGAGCACGUGGGGCGCCAUCAUUAUUUGUUUACCGAGGCGAGCCAGAUGGGACGCCGGUCUUGCUCCCCGUAGCCUGAGCUAGCUAGGGGUAGGGUAAUGAUGGCCCCCCUGUGACGUGGUCGGUCCGAGCCCUAGGUCGGGCGAGGCGGAGGCUCCUCCGAGGUCGAGGUCGAGUCCGUCUUCCGAGGUCGAGGCUGAGUCCGACCCCUGGGGUCGGGCGAGGCGGAGUCCGUCUUCCGAGGUCGAGGCUGAGUCCGACCCCUGGGGUCGGGCGAGGCGGAGUCCGUCUUCUGAGGUCGAGGUCGAGUCCGAGCCCUGGGUCGGGCGAGGCGGAGACCGUCUUCCGUGGUCGAGGUCGAGUCCGAGCCCUGGGUCGGGCGAGGCGGAGACCGUCUUCUGAGGCCGAGGCUGUGUCCGAGCCCUGGGGUCAGGCGAGGCGGAGUCCGUCGUCCAGCGUCGAGGUUGAGUCCGAGCCCUGGGGUCGGGCGAGGCGGAGCUUCCUAUGGCGCCCGAGGCUGGACUUAGCUGCUGUCAGCCUCACUCUGUCGAGUGGCACAGCAGUCGGAGCGACGCAGGCGGCGCUAUUUUCUUGUCAGGUCAGUCAGUGGAGUGGCGAAGUGACUGCGGUCACUUCGGCUCUGUCGACUGAAGAGCGCGCGUCAGGAUAAGUUGUCAGGCGAUCCUUGCAUUAAAUGCUCCUGCAAUACGGUCGGUUGGCGUGGCGAUCUGGCCAAGGUUGCUUCUCUGCGAAGACUGGGCCUCGGGCGAGCCAAAGGUGUGUCCGUUGCUUGAGGGGGCCCUCGGUCAAGACGUGAAUCCUCCGGGGUCGGCUGCCUUUGCCCGAGGCUGGGCUCGGGCGAGGCGAGAUUGUGUCCCUUGAGUGGACUGAGCCUUGACCUUAAUCGCGCCCAUCAGGCCUUUGCAGCUUUGUGCUGAUGGGGGUUACCAGCUGAGAUUAGGAGUCUUGGGGGUACCCCUAAUUAUGGUCCUCGACAGUGAGAAACUUCAAGAAAACUCACUAAGGGAAAAAGAGUACAACAACUGUCAUCGGGACAGAUUUCGAUCCUCUGGGAUCUAAAUUCUAUCGAAUCUUCUACAAGGGCUAACUUUAGAAAUGUGCUCCCCCUGAUCCUUGCAAAACCGUAUUAAUAAGGAAAAACAUCUUCUUCUAGAAGUAUAUGCACAUAAAGAUUUAGCAAACAGAUUGCAUAUCCUUGCAAGGACUAUUUCAGGAACUUUACCUCUACUCACUUCUAGGACAUACGAGGUAAGUGCACGUAUCAACAUAAAUAAGCCACUUUGACUGAUGGUGUUCGAUCGACUGGAUCUAUAUAUUUGAUAGAAAGUUCCAUAAAGGUUCACAUAUUGAUCAUCAAGCUCACGCCUUGAGGGCAGAAUAUGACAUUUAUUCUCUCACGAUUAUGAUCAAUAUAAGCAUUCGCUCCCCCUGACGAUGACAUCUUUCAAAGUCGUUAUCCCUCAUAGCUCAAGCAUAUUCUUCAAGAUAUAUGUCUCAUUGUUCAUCUGGAAUAAUGAGAAUGGAUGAGGAUGGGGUGCUAUCAUUUUCUAUCUUACACCACAAUUUAUACAUAGUUGUGCAAAACAAGUAACAUGUCCUUCAAUAGGACUUAGGGGAUAAUAUAGUUGCAACAGUACAUAUUCCAAAUAUGACACAUCGCUCCAGGCGUUCAUCCAUUGCAACAUCUAUGAUGGUGUAACAAAAGUCCAUCAAAUAUCGUAAUCCAUCAUGGAUUUUUCAUCGAUCAGAUACAUCAUUAUAGUCUGUUAUUCUGGCACAAUGGGGAUAUUUUGCCAGUAACACCUAAACCUUAUAGGUUUCUGCCAUCGGGGCUUUAGAGUAUACCAUAAUUCCACAUCUAGUGGAAAAUACCAUGAGUAAAACUCGUGGGAUGCACAUGUGCUUAUUCAGUGAACUACAAGUCCUUUGGUACCCCAUCUUAUUACUUUUCGGGUCUAUAUGGGUCUUUAUCCCAUUAUAUGGGUUAUCAAACUUUGGUGUUCAACACAGACUUUGUUUCUUCCGGAAAGGUUCCAUUUAGAAACUAUAAUCUCAACUAGGAAAUAUUCUCUCUACAUAGGAGAGUGAUCAUUCAUCAGGAAUGUAUUAUCCGAUAUGAGAUUUAUAUGUUGCAUAUUUAUAAUUCAAGAAUAUGAGUCCUCCUUGGAUCUCAUGAUGGAUCUUUCGAAUCCUAUUAACUGCAUAUUUUAAUUCAUGCCAUUUGCCAGAUAUAUUACAUAGUGGAACAGUGUUUAUUCAACACACAUGUGGGAUGAGUCUCUUACAAGACCACUUGAACCAUCGCAUUCACCACACAUUAUUUCAAUAGUGCCCAUAAAUGUUCGAACUUCAAGCUCGUGACUUUCAUUUUGUGUUUAUUGGUUUAGCCUCGAUUGCAUUUAUCAAUGACCCGAUAAAUAGAGAGCUUCAAGCACUCAUGCCUAGGACUUUGUUUUGGAUCCCUUUGCAAUCUAUAUAGGCAAGAUAGGUGUCGACACAUUUGUCUCCCACAUUUAAUAAUGAUCUUCGUCAUUUACCAAAAACAAAAGAUUCAUUAUUCCAUAUUCCUAGCACAAUGAUAUUGUGCGCAUUGCUAGAAAUUUCAUCAUCAAGAUGAACCUCUCAGUGAGGCAAAUCACCAUCAGGGUGAAUUAAUCGGAGGAGAGUUAUCACAUACCACGUGAAUCUGCAAUCAGAACAUAUGGUUUGACUAAGGCUGAUGGAUCAUAUUCGAAGGCGUCCCCGCGGAAUAGAUCAAAUGCCAAUAAGUCAAAUGUGGAUAUGAUAUUAAUCCCAGGUAUAUCCACAUCUACAUCAGGUAGAAGCAUUCAAACUAAUAUGGUUAAUCCUCAAUGAUUUCUGGCAAACUCCAUAUACACAGGAGUACACACUGAACGACGGGAUCAAUUUGGCUUUUGUGCGUUUUAUAGAAUAUUGAGGCGUUACACAAGAUGGGCAUUCAUCCCCCUAAUGCCGAGAUGUUCUAAAAGCAUACAGAUGAAAUCCCCAACCACAAUCAUCCAGUUGUGGCCAAUGUAUGCUAUUGUGGUGAUUUAUUUGGGAAAUCUUACGCACAUUACAAAUCAGGGUUUUAUGUAGUGAGCUUUGGACUUAGAUUAAUGUAGUGGCAUCAAUACUACAUAUUUUUCCUUCAACAUGAAGGGUUAGUAUCAACAUCCAGCGAGACACGCAACAACAAGUUGCUUCGUGUUUACAAUUCUGCAAACUUAUUGUUAUUAUUACCAAAUGCACAGUCAAUCAUUAAGAUUUAGACUAACAUGCACAACACUAUUUUAUCCAUAAGGGUCCUUCAGGGGCUCAUGAAUACCAUUUGCUGUUUGGAGCCAUUAGUUGACUUCAGAUCAACAAGUAAAAUGACUAUCAGGGUCUAACGCUCACAAAGACAUUCAUUGGUUGCAUUGUGCGUUUAAGCACAUAGGAAAAUAUGUGUGUAGAUAAUGGUAGUAAAGUGCACGGCAUCAGGUCAAUGCUGCCAAGCAAAUAUUUUUAUAUGCAUAGAUGUAUAGUCCAGCUCGUUUUUAUCACUGCCCAUGGUUUACCCAAUUACUCAUACUGUUCUGAAAUUGGGUAUCAAUUUGUGCAACAUUUUUAGGUAUUAUAAUUUUGAGAGAGAAUUUAUAACAAUAGUUAAUAAUUUGUGAUGUUGCCAGCAAGGCCAACAUUUCUCCUCAUAUUAUAUACCAAUUUGUUCUAUAAAGCAUUAUUUCGAUCUCUUCGUUGUUCGGCAAAAAGAGAAGCUUUGGAAUAGAACGGAUAAGGCAAAGAAUUCAUUUUAUCUCGGAAAAAUCACCAUAUAACUAGAUUUUGAUGAAGCAAAUGAUGAUAAUUGCUUGGAAAGAACAAAACAAGACUGGUAUCCGCCUAGAAUCCAUCUUCAACAACAGAUAUUACCGCUCGCAUAUGAAGAAAUCAGCAGGAGUAGAGAUGAUACAACAGGUAAGUACAAGAUCUUCAUAUUUCUAUCACAAAUUAUCAUCACUAGUAGUCUAGUGGUUAAGACAUAUGUCUCUUCUCGCUCCGAGGAUCAAGGACAUAUUAAUGUCUAAUUUAGCUUCAAGCUCCGUGGUGAGUGGGAUUUCAUAGUUAUUUGUCUACUCUUCUCACUUCUGGUAGAUCGGAGGUAGAUAAUGGUAAGCAUGACAAAGGGUGGAAUUCAGUGUAGUUCGGCUACAUAAACACCAGGUUUGUGUCCAUUCAGGAUCGACCUUUACCAUUUAGCUUACAGUGUAUACCAAACUUGUCAAAAGACUAUCCCUAGUUAAUUCAUCAACUAGGGAUAUUUACAAUUUUGAGAGAUGUAUACAACACAAGCAUAAAGGUCCUAGAUAGGACGAGCAAAGUGGUUCGACGGGAACGCACCAUGGUUUUCACACCAACAUAGUGCAAAUUUUCUCAGAAUAAUCUCUCGGUAUCCUCGCAACUUCGUGUUGCUAGCGGUUACAUGUCCUUUUAUCUCAUAGUUUGCUUCAUGGCAUUCAGCAACAAAGAGAGCAAUGUGCUAACAUCUAGUUGAGCAAUGUAUGACUGAGAUUUCUGGCCUUUAUUCAUUUGAUAAGGUCUCUUUGCUUACUAACAGAAUCCCAUGUUGUGAUAUCUUUUAUGCCAAAAAGGCUUUCAUGCAUUAAUAUUGAAUUUCUUCAGGUUACUUCGGGUAAAACUUUAUGCAUGAGGAGAGAGUAGGGAAUUAACUUAUCCGAGUUCUAUUGUAUUUCAAUUUAAUUUUCCAGAUUUCCAAGCACUUUGGGGCUUGAUAUAGUAGUUUUGGCCCCUUGGCGAUAUAUAUAAAUAUAUGAUGCCACACAACACAAUCAAAUAAAAUAUAGAGCCAAACAAAAUUGUUUACGAAGGUUGUGCAAUAAUGUGACUUUAGGGCUUGAAUAACCCACCACAUUCCACGCGAGUACAAGUUUUAGCUUAUCUGGCGUCAAUAUGUGUGCGGCCAUCAGGGCUACAACAACACAACAAGCCUUUAUAACAAGCGCAACGGGCGCAAUUGUGGCUCGGUAUCCAGGGUACACGAUAAAUCCAUGCAACGUGCGCAACAGGCGCAAUUGUGGCUCGAUGAUCACGACAGACGGAUAGUGCCUACAGGGCUACGAAAAAUGUGUGACUCGAUGAUGGCGGUCCGACUCAACGAGAGUGGUCCGAUUAAGCGAGAGUGCGACAUAGCAAUCAAAUGACGCAGCCAAGUUCGUACGACACACAUACUGUGUCGUGUUGCCAGGGCGCAGCCAGUGCUCAGUCAAUGCCAUAACUCGGUCGAUUAAUAACGUAAUCUGAUCGACGUGUCUGAGUACCCACUAUACAAUUUAAUCGCUCGACGUGAGUCCAAAAGCUCAACACUUCAUAAAUAUUUAGAGCGACAUAAAAAUGUGCAACCUAACAUUCACAUGUAUUUCAAAUAAUUUUCUGCUAUUUACUACCAAAAAUAAAGCAGAAAAAUAAUACUAAAAUUAAUACAUGAACAUAACACAUCAGGUGUAAAUGUCAAUUUUCUAUAUUCAAGUAUGCAUUUUUCUACUAAUUAUUUAUUGCAGAAAAAAAUUAGUUAAAAUAGAAAUUGCAACAUAAAACACUUUUUAUUCUAACAGGCCUUCUUGGUGUGCAUUAAACAAAUAAAAUUGAUGCAUGCAGCUCUGCCCACCAUGUACAAUCACAUGUGAGGCGAGGGGCACACAGCUUUUAACCAUCACGUGGCCCCACAUGCCAUACCACUCGAGAGGAUAAGCACAGGAGAAGAUAAUUGCUGGACGAGCGAGCAUGCAACAUGACCAGGUAACCGGCCACUUCGGCGCGGACACGUUCAACGCGGCGCGCGUGGCGGCGAUCCAGCGCAGGUGAUGCUUCACCUGUAAGAGCUCGACGCCUCCAUUCCUGAGUUCCUAGUGUUGGCUUGCCGGGAGCUCUUACACCACAUCUAGUUGUCUAGCGCCGCCGCGUGGCCUGUCCGGUUGUCCCUAAGCAGCAGGCACAACUCGACAGACUCCACCGGGGAGGUCACGCCGCCGGGGAGCGCAAGGUCGGGGCCGCGCCCACGCUAGGCUAGGGUAGUACCCACGCUAUUGGAGAGUAGUUGGCCAUGUCGUAAGCGAUCGUCUCCAAGACGAGUGGCAGAGGCGUCGACGCAGGGCAGAGCGAGAACCGGUCGAUCGCGACCCGCGGGGCUACCUUCCUGAAGAAUUUGAUUGGAUUCCUCGCGCAUGGAGGUGGAUUGCUUGCUAGUAGUCUAUAGUUGGUCGGCACGACACAAGCUCACUGCAGGACAACGACGGCUGCACGAGGAACUCAAGCGAGUGUGUGCAUGUGCAGGAGCACAGCGCCAUCGUGGUACUCCUUGCGCAGAGUCUCCACGAACAGAUCAAGAACAAUGAAUCUAUUAUACUUAGAAUACUGUCGGGUACCGUAAUUAGGGGUACCCCCAACACUCCUAAACACGGCUGGUAACCACCAUCAGCACAAGCUGCAGAGACUGAUGGGCGCAAUUCAGGUCAAGGCUUCGUCUACUCAAGGGACGCGAUCUCGCCUCGCCCGAGCCCAGCCUCGGGCGAAAACAGUAGUCCCAGGCGAAUUCACGCCUCGCCCGAGGGCCUCCUCAAGCAACGGGCGCACCCUCGACUCGCCCAAAGCCCAGCUCGGGCAGGCUUCGUUGUGAAGCAACCUUGGCCAAAUCGCCUCACCAACCGACCGUAUCGCAGGCGCAUUCAAUGCGAGGAUCGCCUGACACCUUAUCCUGACACACGUGCCUCAGUCGGCAGGGUCGAAGUGACCGCAGUCACUUUGCCCUUCCACUGACCGACUUGACAGGAAAACAGCGCCGCUCGCCCCUCUCCGACUGUUGUGCCACCCACCAGGGUGAGGCUGACAACAGCUAAGUUUAGCCUCAGGCGCAACAGGAAGCUCCGCCUCGCCCGACCUUGAGCCUCGGCCUCAGGAGGAGGUCUCCGCCUCGCCAGACCCCAGGACUCAGCCCCCGCCUCGGCCUCGGAAGGUGGUCUCUGCCUCGCCCGACCCUAGGGCUCGGCCUUAACCUCGACCUCGGAAGGUGGUCUCCACUUCGCCCGACCCCAGGGCUCGGCCUCAACCUCGACCUCGGGAGGAAUCACGUCCUCGCCCGACCCCUGCCUCGGCCUCAGGAGGAGUCUCCGCCUCGCCCGACCUUGGGCUCGGACCGACCGCGCCACGGAGGAUGCAUCAUUACCCUACCCCUAGCUAGCUCAGGCUACGGGGGAACAAGACCGACGUCCCAUCCAGGCUCGCCCCGGUAACAAGUAAUGAUGGCUCCCCGCGUGCGUCCAUGACGACGGUGGUUCUUAGCCCCCUACGGAAGCAAGGAGACAUCAGCAAGGUCCCAGUAGCCUCGACAGCUGUGCUUCUACAAGGCUCAAGCGCUCCUCCGACGGCCACGAUACCACGUACACAGGGCACUAGCACCUCUCCGACAGCCACGUUGGCAUGUACACAGGGCUCAGGCACCUCUCUGCCGGACACGUUAGCGCAUAGCUACACCCCCAUUAUACACCUGGACCCUCUCCUUGCAUCUAUAAAAGGAAGGUCUAGGGCCCUCAUGCGGGAGGGUCGUCGCGCGGGAGGACGGGCUGACGAACAUGCUCACUCUCUCUCUCUCCCUCGCGAACGCUUGUAACCCCUACUGCAAGCGCAUCCCCCUGGCGCAGGAUAACACGAGCCGUGUUUUCCCCCUUGUGUUCCAUCUCGCGCCAACCCAUCUGGGCUGGGACACGUAGCGACAAUUUUACUCGUCGGUCCAGGGACUCCACGGGGUCGAAACGCCGACAUUUGGCGCGCCAGGUAGGGGCCUGCUGCGUGUUGACGAACAACUUCCCGUUGAGUUCCAGAUGGGUAGACUCCAGCAACCUCUUCAGCCCGAAACGCUGCUCCAUUUUGGGAGUCUCGAGUUCAUGUCCCUCGACGGCAGCUACGACAUGGUACUCCUUCCUCCGCAGCGUGGCAGCGACAACGACGGCCGUCAGCCCGCCCGGCGAUGGCGAACUCGACGACGUCUUCCCCCCAUGGUGGAAGAGCAGCAUCCGGGUUUCUCCUGCCGCCUUCCUUGCCGCAGGAGGAGGAGGCGGGGCAACCAUGGCCAGGCUGGAGGCGGCACCUCGUUGGCUGUCGAGCAAGUCGACAAUGUCGGCACCCCAGUGGGGGACUUGUCAAGCGUUGUCCUCGCGCCUGAGACAACGACGGGUGUCAUUUCCCUGCAACGUGCCAACCCCAAGCGGACAGAUGACGCCAGCACACUCGCGGAGGGCUUGCUGGGCGUUAGCCUCGUACCUAAGAUAACGGUGCAGUCUGACCCUGACGCGACUUCGUCACCGUCCAUCGAUCGAGAGGUAUCGUCCGUUUUCCACCCUGUGCCUUUUAGAUUCAGCUUCGAUCCACCAAGCGACCCCGCUUCGGUGAGCGCUUUCAUAAAGGCAUAUCCUAACCUUCCGGGGUAUCAUAUGUGGUGAACCUGGGACCGACUGACGGCCGUCUCGACCUACGGGCCCCCGGGUUCCGAGGAAGAGGACAAGCCCGACUCUGGUUGGGAUUUCUCCGGGCUCGGUAAUCCCAGUGCCAUGUGAGACUUCAUGACCGCAUGUGACUACUGCCUCUCCGAUUGCUCCGAUGAUUGCCACAGCCUUGACGACGAGGGUUGUGGCCCAAGUCGCGAAUGUUUCCACGUCGAUCUAGGGGGUCACGACAAAGGCAACCACCUUGGUAUGCCAGAGGACGACGAUCCCCUGGGCCUGCGCCUCGCGUUGACAUCCUGCGGGAGCUAGCUGUGGUCCCAGUCCCUGCGGGGGGGUCAGGACACACAGCUCGAGCAAAUCCGCGAGAUGCAGGCCAAGCUCGACGAGGAAGCAGGACAACUUGUGCAGCUCUGGCAAAACAUCGAGCAGGAGUGGGCAGGCCGAGCACUAGCCGGAGAAGCGCAUCAUCAGGCCCGGGACAUCCAGCGUCGUAUCGCUGACGAUGCCAGGGCAAGGCUGCCCCCGGCCUCCAGCGGGGUCGGCCAGAAUCUGGUUGCAGCGGCAAUACUACUUUGAGCGAUGCCUGAGCCAUCCACCACCGAGGGGCGGCGUAUCCAGGGAGAACUCAAGAAUCUCCUAGAGGACGCCGCGGUCCGACGGGCCGAGAGCUCUGCCUCCCGAAGGCAAGGGUGCCCCCCGGAGCAUUGCGCAACGACUUCCCGAUUCAUGCGGGAGGCCUCGGUCCACACCGAGCGCACGCGGGACGUGACGCCUGUGGCCCUGGGUCGCCUUGGCAACGAGCACCACCGCCGCGACCGUCGAGUCCGCCACGACGAGAAGGUGCACCGAGGCUACCACCCCAGGCGUGGGAUACGUUACGACAGCGAGGAGGAUCUUAGCCCCUCGCCCGAACCACCUGGUCCGCAAGCCUUCAGCCGGGCCAUACGACGGGCGCCGUUCCCGACCCGGUUCCGAGCCCCGACUACCAUCACCAAGUACUCGGGGGAAACAAGGCCGGAACUGUGGCUUGCGGACUACCGGCUGGCCUGCCAGCUAGGUGGAACGGACGAUGACAACCUCAUCAUCCGCAACCUCCCCCUGUUCCUCUCCGACGCCGCCCGAGCCUGGCUGGAGCAUCUGCCUCCUGCGCAGAUCUCCAACUGGGACGAUUUGGUCAAAGCCUUCGCUGGAAACUUCCAGGGCAUGUACGCGCGCCCUGGGAACUCAUGGGAUCUCUGAAGCUGCUGCCAGCAGUCAGGGGAAUCCCUACGAGAGUACAUCCGGCGGUUUUCGAAGCAACGCACCGAGCUGCCCAACAUCACUGACUCAGAUGUCAUCGGGGCGUUCCUCGCCGGCACCACUUGCCACGACCUGGUGAGAAAACUGGGUCGCAAGACUCCCACCAAGGCGAGCGAAUUGAUGGACAUCGCCACCAAGUUCACCUCUGGUUAGGAGGCGGUCGAGGCCAUCUUCCGGAAGGACAAGCAGCCUCAGGGACGCUAGCAGGAAGACAUCCCCGAGGCGUCCGCCCAGCGCGGCACGAAGAAGAAGGCGAAAAAGAAGUCGCAAGCGAAACGUGACGCCGCCGACGCAGAUCUUGUCGCUGCCACCGAACACAGGAACCCUCGGAAGCCUCCUGGAGGGGCCAACCUGUUCGACAAGAUGCUCAAGGAGUCGUGCCCCUAUCACCAGGGUCCCGUCAAGCACACCCUUGAGGAAUGCGUCAUGCUUCGGCGCUACUUUCAUAAGGUCAGGCCACCAGCGGAAGAUGGCAAAGGCCAAGACAACGACAAGAAGGAGGGUGACAAGGCAGAGGAGUUCCCCGAGGUCCACAGCUAUUUCAUGAUCUACGGUGGGCGAGUGGCGAACGCCUCGGCUCGGCACCGCAAGCAGGAGCGUCGGGAGGUCUGCUUAGUAAAGGUGGCGGCGCCAGUCUACCUAGACUGGUCCGACAAGCCCAACACCUUCGACCAAGGCGACCACCCCGACUGCGUGUCGAGCCCAGGAAAAUACCCGCUCGUUGUCGACCCCGUCAUCGGCAACACCAGGCUCACCAAGGUCCUCAUGGACGGGGGCAGCAGCCUCAACAUCAUCUACGCCAAGACCCUCGGGCUCUUGGAGAUCGAUCUGUCCAUGAUCCGGGCCGGUGCGACGCCCUUUCACGGGAUCAUCCCCGGGAAGCGCGUCCUGCCCCUCGGUCAACUCGAUCUGCAUGUCUGCUUCGGAACUCCCUCCAACUUCCGAAAGGAAACCCUCACGUUCGAGGUGGUCGGGUUCCGAGGAACCUACCACGCGUUACUGGGGAGACCAUGCUACGCCAAGUUCAUGACCGUCCCCAACUACACCUACCUCAAGCUCAAGAUGUCGGGCCCCAACGGGGUCAUCACCGUCGGAUCCACGUACAGACACGCGUACAAAUGCGACGUGGAGUGCGUGGAGUACGCUGAGGCCCUCGCCGAGUCUGAGGCCCUCAUCACCGACCUGGAGUGCCUCUCUGAAAGGGAAUUAGGCUUACUCCUAUUUUCCGAAUUGAUUUUAGUGGUUGAAGUGCCCAACACAAAUAAUUGGACUAACUAGUUUGCUCUAGUGUAUAAGUUAUACAGGUGAAAAAGGUUCACACUUAGCCAAUAAAAAGAUCAAAUGUUGGAUUCAACAAAGGAGAAAAGGGACAACUGAAGGCACCUCUGGUCUGGGGAACCGGACAGUGUCCGGUGCACCAGAGGACUCCAACUUGAACUCGCCACCUUCGGGAAUUUCUAGAGGCACUCGCGCUAUAAUUCACCGGACUGUCCGGUGUACACCGGACAGUGUCCGGUGCUCCUCGGAAGAGCUGCCUCAGGAACUCGCCAGCCUCGGGAAAUCAGAACGCCUGCUCCACUAUAAUUCACCGGACAUGUCCGGUGUACACCGGACUAUCCGGUGAACCAGCAGAGCAACGGAUACUUCACGCCAACGGUCACCUACAGGCGCAUUCAAUGCGCGCCAGAAGCGCGCAGAAGUCAGGCACGCCCAUACUGGCGCACCGGACAUUGAACAGUACAUGUCCGGUGUGCACCGGACAUCCAGGCGGGCCCAGAAGUCAGAACUACAACGGUCAGAAUCCAACGGCAUUGGUGACGUGGCUGGCGCACCGGACAUGUCCGGUGUGCACCGGACUGUCCGGUGCACCAUACGACAGUCAGCUUCCACCAACGGUCAAGUUUGGUGGUUGGGGCUAUAAAUACCCCAACCACCCCACCAUUCAUUGCAUCCAAGUUUUCCAGCUUCCAACCACUAUACAAGAGCUAGCAUUCAUUGCAAAACACACAAAAAGAGAUCAAAUCCUCUCCCAACUCCACACAAAGCAUUAGUGACUAGAGAGAGUGAUUUGUAGUGUUCACUUGAGCUCUUGCGCUUGGAUCGCUUCUUUUCUUUCGCAUUCUUUCUUGUGAUCAAACACUCACUUGUAAUUGAGGCAAGAGGCACCAAUCGUGUGGUGGCCCUUGCGGGAAGCUUGAUUCCCAAGUGAUUUGAGAAGAGAAGCUCACUCGGUCCAAGGGAUCGUUUGAGAGAGGGAAGGGUUGAAAGAGACCCGGCCUUUGUGGCCUCCUCAACGGGGAGUAGGUUUGAGAGAACCGAACCUCGGUAAAACAAAUCCGCGUGUCUCACUUUAUUAUUCGCUUGCGAUUUGUUUUGCGCCCUCUCUCGCGGACUCUAUUAUAUUUCUAACGCUAACCCGGCUUGUAGUUGUGAUUAUUUUGAGAAUUUUAGUUUCGCCCUAUUCACCCCCCCCCCUCUAGGCGACUUUCAAUUGGUAUCAGAGCCCGGUGCUUCAUUAGAGCCUAACCGCUCGAAGUGAUGUUGGGAGAUCACGCCAAGAAGGAGAAGGAGACCGGCGAAAAGCCCACUACAAGCCACGGGAGCACUUCAUCGGAAGAGUCCCACACCAAGAGGAAGGAGAAGAAGAAGAGCUCCUCCAACAAAGGGAAGGAGAAGAAAUCUUCUUCUCACCACAAAGAGAAGAAGGAGAGAUCUUCCUCUCACAAGCCACAUCGGAGUGGGGACAAGCACAAGAGGAUGAGGAAAGUGGUCUACUACGAGACCGACACUUCAUCAACAUCGACCUCCGACUCCGAUGCGCCCUCCGUAACUUCUAAACGCCAAGAGCGUAAGAAGUUUAGUAAGAUCCCCUUACACUAUCCUCGUACAUCUAGACAUACUCCAUUACUUUCCGUUCCAUUAGGCAAACCACCAACCUUUGACGGUGAAGAUUAUGCUAGGUGGAGUGAUUUAAUGAAAUUUCAUCUAACCUCACUCCACAAAAGUAUAUGGAAUGUUGUUGAGUUUGGAGCACAGGUAUCAUCCGUAGGGGAUAAGGAUUAUGAUGAGGACGAGGUGGCCCAAAUCGAGCACUUCAACUCUCAAGCUACAACCAUACUCCUCGCCUCUCUAAGCAAGGAAGAAUACAACAAGGUGCAAGGGUUAAAGAAUGCAAAGGAGAUUUGGGACCUCCUCAAGACCGCGCACGAGGGCGAUGAACUAACAAAGAUCACCAAGCGAGAAACGAUCGAGGGGGAGCUCGGUCGCUUUCGACUUUGCCAAGGGGAAGAGCCACAAGACAUGUACAACCGGCUCAAGACUUUGGUGAACCAAGUGCGCAACCUCGGGAGCAAGAAGUGGGAUGACCACGAGGUGGUUAAGGUUAUUCUUAGAUCACUCAUUUUCCUUAACCCCACUCAAGUUCAAUUAAUUCGUGGUAAUCCUAGAUAUACUCAAAUGACCCCCGAGGAAGUUAUCGGGAAUUUUGUGAGCUUUGAAUGUAUGAUCAAGGGCUCCAAGAAGAUCAACGAGCUUGAUGAACCCUCCACGUCCGAAGCACAACCGGUGGCAUUUAAGGCGACGGAGGAGAAGAAGGAGGAGUCUACACCGAGUAGACAACCAAUUGACGCCUCCAAGCUCGACAAUGAGGAGAUGGCUUUAAUCAUCAAAAGCUUUCGCCAAAUCCUCAAGCAACGGAAGGGGAAGGAUUAUAAAUCCUGUUCCAAGAAGGUUUGCUACAAGUGUGGUAAGCCCGGCCACUUUAUAGCUAAAUGUCCAUUAUCAAGUGAUAGUGACAGGGGCGACGACAAGAAGGGGAGAAGAAAGGAGAAGAAGAGGUACUACAGGAAGAAGGGCGGCGAUGCCCAUGUUUGUCGGGAGUGGGACUCCGAUGAAAGCUCAAGCGACUCCUCCGACGACGAGGACGCCGCCAACAUCGCCGUCACCAAAGGACUUCUCUUCCCCAACGUCGGCCACAAGUGCCUCAUGGCAAAGGACGGCAAAAAGAAGGUUAAAUCUAAAUCCUCCACUAAAUAUGAAACAUCUAGUGAUGAUAAUGCUAGUGAUGAGGAAGAUAAUUUGCGUAUCCUUUUUGCCAACCUUAACAUGGAACAAAAAGAAAAAUUAAAUGAAUUGAUUAGUGCUAUUCAUGAAAAGGAUGACCUUUUGGAUUCUCAAGAGGAUCUCCUAAUUAAGGAAAACAAGAAACAUGUUAAGGUUAAAAAUGCUUAUGCUCUAGAAAUUGAGAAAUGUAAAAAAUUAUCUAGUGAGCUAAGCACUUGUCGUGAGAUGAUUGACAACCUUAGGAAUGAAAAUGCUAGUUUAAAUGCUAAGGUUGAUUCACAUGUUUGUAAUGUUUCAAUUCCCAAUCCUAGAAAUAAUAAUGAUGAUUUGCUUGCUAGGAUUGAAGAAUUAAACAUUUCUCUUGCUAGCCUUAGGAGUGAAAAUGAGAAAUUAAUUACUAAGGCAAAAGAUUUUGAUGUUUGCAAAGUUACAAUUUCCGAUCUUAGAGAUAAGAAUGAUAUACUACAUGCUAAGAUUGUUGAACUUAAUUCUUGCAAACCCUCCACAUCUACCAUUGAGCAUGACACUAUUUGUACUAGAUGUAGAGAUAUUGAUGUUGAUGCUAUUCAUGAUCACAUGAUUUUAAUUAAGCAACAAAAUGAUCAUAUAGCUAAACUAGAUGCUAAAAUUGCCGAGCACAACUUAGAAAAUGAGAAAUUUAAAUUUGCUCGUAGCAUGCUUUAUAAUGGGAGACGCCCUGGCAUUAAGGAUGGCAUUGGCUUCAAAAGGGGAGACAAUGUCAAAAUUAGUGCCCCUCCUAAAAGAUUGUCAAAUUUUGUUAAGGGCAAGACUCCCAUGCCUCAGGAUAACGAGGGUUAUAUUUUAUACCCUGCCGGUUAUCCCGAGGACAAAAUUAGGAAAAUUCAUUCUAGGAAGUCACACUCUGGUUCUAACCAUGCUUUUAUGUAUAAGAGUGAGACAUCUAGUUCUAGGCAACCAACCCGUGCUAAGUUGCCUAAGAAGAAAAUUCCUAUUGCAUCAAAUGAUCAUAAUAUUUCUUUUAAAACUUUUGAUGCAUCUUAUGUUUUGACUAACAAAUCCGGCAAGGUAGUUGCCAAAUAUGUUGGGGGCAAGCACAAAGGGUCAAAGACUUGUGUUUGGAUACCCAAAGUUCUUGUUUCUAAUGCCAAAGGACCCAAAACUGUUUGGGUACCUAAAGUCAAGAACUAAAAUUGUUUUGUAGGUUUAUGCAUCCGGGGGCUCAAGUUGGAUACUCGACAGCGGGUGCACAAACCACAUGACAGGGGAGAAAAAGAUGUUCUCCUCAUAUGAGAAAAACCAAGAUCCCCAACGAGCUAUCACAUUCGGGGAUGGAAAUCAAGGUUUGGUCAAAGGUCUUGGUAAAAUUGCUAUAUCUCCUGACCAUUCUAUUUCCAAUGUUUUUCUUGUAGAUUCUUUAGAUUACAACUUGCUUUCCGUUUCACAAUUAUGUCAAAUGGGCUACAACUGUCUAUUUACCGAUGUAGGUGUCACUGUCUUUAGAAGAAGUGAUGAUUCAAUAGCAUUUAAGGGAGUGUUGGAGGGUCAGCUAUACUUGGUAGAUUUUGAUAAAGCUGAACUCGACACUUGCUUAAUUGCUAAGACUAACAUGGGUUGGCUCUGGCACCGCCGACUAGCCCAUGUUGGGAUGAAGAAUCUUCAUAAGCUUCUAAAGGGAGAACACAUUUUAGGAUUAACAAAUGUUCAUUUUGAGAAAGACAGGAUUUGUAGCGCAUGCCAGGCAGGGAAGCAAGUUGGAGCCCAUCAUCCACACAAGAACAUCAUGACGACCGACAGGCCACUGGAGCUCCUACACAUGGAUCUAUUCGGCCCGAUUGCUUACAUAAGCAUCGGCGGGAGUAAGUACUGUCUAGUUAUUGUGGAUGAUUAUUCUCGCUUCACUUGGGUAUUCUUUUUACAGGAAAAAUCUCAAACCCAAGAGACCUUAAAGGGAUUCUUGAGACGGGCUCAAAAUGAGUUCGGCUUAAGGAUCAAGAAAAUAAGAAGCGACAACGGGACGGAGUUCAAGAACUCUCAAAUUGAAGGCUUUCUUGAGGAGGAGGGCAUCAAGCAUGAGUUCUCUUCUCCAUACACCCCUCAACAAAAUGGUGUAGUGGAGAGGAAGAAUCGAACUCUAUUGGACAUGGCAAGGACCAUGCUUGAUGAGUACAAGACUUCGGAUCGGUUUUGGGCCGAGGCGGUCAACACCGCUUGCUACGCCAUCAACCGGUUAUAUCUUCACCGAAUCCUCAAGAAGACAUCAUAUGAACUCCUAACCGGUAAAAAGCCCAAUAUUUCUUAUUUUAGAGUCUUUAGUAGCAAAUGUUUUAUUCUUGUUAAAAGAGGUAGAAAAUCUAAAUUUGCUCCUAAGACUGUAGAAGGCUUUUUACUUGGUUAUGACUCAAACACAAGGGCAUAUAGAGUCUUUAACAAGUCCACUGGACUAGUUGAAGUCUCAUGUGACGUUGUGUUUGAUGAGACUAACGGCUCUCAAGUAGAGCAAGUUGAUCUUGAUGAGAUAGGUGAUGAAGAGGCUCCGUGCAUCGCGCUAAGGAACAUGUCCAUCGGGGAUGUGUGUCCUAAGGAAUCCGAAGAGCCUCCAAAGGCACAAGAUCAACCGUCCUCCUCCACGCAAGCAUCUCCACCAACUCAAAAUGAGGAUGAGGCUCAAGUUGAUGAAGGGCAAGAUCAAAAAGAUGAGCCACCUCAAGAUGAUGGCAAUGAUCAAGGGGGAGAUGCAAAUGAUCAAGAAAAGGAGGAUGAGCAAGAACCAAGGCCGCCACACCCAAGAGUCCACCAAGCAAUCCAACGAGAUCACCCCGUCGACACCAUCCUCGGCGACAUACAUAAAGGGGUAACUACUAGAUCUCGUGUUGCACAUUUUUGUGAACAUUACUCUUUUGUUUCCUCUAUAGAGCCACACAGGAUAGAGGAAGCACUUCAAGAUUCGGAUUGGGUGGUGGCGAUGCAAGAGGAGCUCAACAACUUCACUACGAAUGAGGUAUGGCAUUUAGUUCCACGUCCUAACCAAAAUGUUGUAGGAACCAAAUGGGUCUUCCGCAACAAACAAGAUGAGCAUGGUGUGGUGACAAGGAACAAAGCCCGACUUGUGGCCAAGGGAUACUCCCAAGUCGAAGGUUUGGAUUUCGGUGAAACCUAUGCACCCGUAGCUAGGCUUGAGUCAAUUUGCAUAUUAUUGGCCUAUGCUACUUACCAUGGCUUUAAGCUUUAUCAAAUGGACGUGAAAAGUGCCUUCCUCAAUGGACCAAUCAAGGAAGAGGUCUAUGUUGAGCAACCUCCCGGCUUUGAAGACAGUAAGUACCCUAACCAUGUAUAUAAACUCUCCAAGGCGCUUUAUGGGCUCAAGCAAGCCCCAAGAGCAUGGUAUGAAUGCCUUAGAGAUUUCCUUAUUGCUAAUGGCUUCAAAGUCGGAAAGGCCGAUCCUACUUUAUUCACUAAAACUCUUGACAAUGAUUUGUUUGUAUGCCAAAUUUAUGUUGAUGAUAUCAUAUUUGGGUCUACUAACGAAUCUACAUGUGAAGAAUUUAGUAGGAUCAUGACAAAGAAAUUCGAGAUGUCUAUGAUGGGGGAAUUGAAGUACUUCUUAGGAUUUCAAGUGAAGCAACUCCAAGAGGGCACCUUCCUAAGCCAAACGAAGUAUACUCAAGAUAUUCUAAGCAAGUUUGGGAUGAAGGAUGCCAAGCCCAUCAAGACACCCAUGGGAACCAAUGGGCAUCUCGACCUCGACACGGGAGGUAAGUCCGUGGAUCAAAAGGUAUCCCGGUCAAUGAUAGGUUCUUUACUCUAUUUAUGUGCAUCUCGACCGGACAUUAUGCUUUUCGUAUGCAUGUGUGCAAGAUUCCAAGCCGACCCUAAGGAAGCUCACCUUACGGCCGUAAAACGAAUCUUGAGAUAUUUGGCUUAUACUCCUAAGUUUGGGCUUUGGUAUCCUAGGGGAUCCACAUUUGAUUUGAUUGGAUAUUCGGAUGCCGAUUGGGCAGGGUGCAAAAUCAAUAGGAAGAGCACAUCGGGGACUUGCCAGUUCUUGGGAAGAUCCUUGGUGUCUUGGGCUUCAAAGAAGCAAAAUUCGGUCGCUCUUUCCACCGCCGAAGCCGAGUACAUUGCCGCAGGCCAUUGUUGCGCACAAUUGCUUUGGAUGAGGCAAACCCUGCGGGACUACGGUUACAAACUAACCAAAGUUCCUCUUCUAUGUGAUAAUGAGAGUGCAAUCCGCAUGGCGGAUAAUCCCGUUGAGCAUAGCCGCACUAAGCACAUAGCCAUUCGGUAUCAUUUUCUUAGGGAUCACCAACAAAAGGGAGAUAUCGAGAUUGCAUACAUUAAUACUAAAGAUCAAUUAGUCGAUAUCUUUACCAAGCCUCUUGAUGAACAAACCUUUACCAAACUUAGGCAUGAGCUCAAUAUUCUUGAUUCUAGAAAUUUCUUUUGCUAACUUGCACACAUAGCUCACGAAUAUACCUUUGAUCAUGUCUCUUUCAUAUGCUAUGACUAAUGUGUUUUCAAGUGUAUUUCAAACCAAGUCAUAAGGUAUAUUGAAAGGGAAUUGGAGUCUUCAGCGAAGACAAAGGCUUCCACUCCACUCUCCUACUCAUCCUUCGCCGUCACUCCGAGCAUCUCUCCAACUUUGGUAUAACCUUCACUCAUUUAUUUUAUGAUCAAAGGAGGAGAAAGUACUUCAUAGGGCUCUAAUGACUCCAUUUUUGGCGAUUCAUGCCAAAGGGGGAGAAAGUAUUAGCCCAAAGCAAAAGGACCGCACCACCACCAAUUUCAAAAACUUAGUGUUUUCAAAGAGUAUUUAUCAAUUGGUAUCCUAUUGUGUUCAAAAGGGGGAGAAAGUAGUAUUUCAAAAAUGAUAUAUCAAAACCCUCUUGAACACUAAGAGGAGGAUCUCUUUUAGGGGGAGUUUUUUUUAGUCAAAGGAAAAGCAUUUGAAACAGGGGGAGAAAAUUUCAAAUCUUGAAAAUGCUUCAUAAAAACGUAUUCAUUUGCCUUUGACUAUUUGCAAAAGAACUUUGAAAAGAUUUACAAAAGAUUUUUGCAAAAACAAAACAUGUGGUGCAAGCGUGGUCCAAAAUAUUAAAAACAAAGGAGCAAUCCAUGCAUAUCUUGUAAGUAGUUAUAUUGGCUCAACUCCAAGCAACCUUUUCACUUACAUUAUGCAAACUAGGUCAAUUAUGCACUUUUCUAUUUGCUUCGGUUUGUGUUGGCAUCAAUCACCAAAAAGGGGGAGAUUGAAAGGGAAUUAGGCUUACUCCUAUUUUCCAAAUUGAUUUUAGUGGUUGAAGUGUCCAACACAAAUAAUUGGACUAACUAGUUUGCUCUAGUGUAUAAGUUAUACAGGUGAAAAAGGUUCACACUUAGCCAAUAAAAAGAUCAAAUGUUGGAUUCAACAAAGGAGAAAAGGGACAACCGAAGGCACCUCUGGUCUGGGGCACCGGACUGUCCGGUGUACACCGGACAGUGUCCGGUGCACCACCGGACAGUGUCCGGUGUACCAGAGGACUCCAACUUGAACUCGCCACCUUCGGGAAUUUCUAGAGGCACUCGCGCUAUAAUUCACCGGACUGUCCGGUGUACACCGGACAGUGUCCGGUGCUCCUCGGAAGAGCUGCCUCAGGAACUCGCCAGCCUCGGGAAAUCAGAACGCCUGCUCCGCUAUAAUUCACCGGACAUGUCCGGUGUACACCGGACUGUCCGGUGAACCAGCAGAGCAACGGAUACUUCGCGCCAACGGUCACCUGCAGGCGCAUUCAAUGUGCGCCAGAAGCGCGCAGAAGUCAGGCACGCCCAUACUGGCGCACCGGACAUUGAACAGUACAUGUCCGGUGUGCACCGGACAUCCAGGCGGGCCCAGAAGUCAGAACUACAACGGUCAGAAUCCAAUGGCAUUGGUGACGUGGCUGGCGCACCGGACAUGUCCGGUGUGCACCGGACUGUCCGGUGCACCAUACGACAGUCAGCUUCCACCAACGGUCAAGUUUGGUGGUUGGGGCUAUAAAUACCCCAACCACCCCACCAUUCAUUGCAUCCAAGUUUUCCAGCUUCCAACCACUAUACAAGAGCUAGCAUUCAUUGCAAAACACACAAAAAGAGAUCAAAUCCUCUCCCAACUCCACACAAAGAUAUCGGCUAGCUGGUUCUCGGUGCUAACAUGAAACACUUCGAUAUCUCCCUUUUGCUGGUGGUCUCUCAGAAAGUGAUGCCGGAUGUCAAUGUGCUUUGUGCGGCUGUGUUCAACAGGAUUUUCCGCCAUGCGGAUAGCACUCUCAUUGUCACAUAGGAGUGGGACUUUGCUCAGAUUGUAGCCAAAGUCUCGGAGGGUUUGCCUCAUCCAAAGUAGUUGUGUGCAACACUGUCCUGCGGCAACGUACUCGGCCUCAGCGGUGGAUAGGGCAAUAGAGGUUUGUUUCUUAGAACUCCAUGACACCAGGGACCUUCCUAAAAAUUGGCACGUCCUCGAUGUACUCUUCCUAUCGACCUUACAUCCAACAUAGUCGGAGUCUGAAUAUCCAAUUAAGUCAAAGGUAGACCCCUUUGGAUACCAGAUCCCGAAGCAAGGCGUAGCGACUAAAUAUCUAAGAAUUCGCUUCACCGCCACUAAGUGACACUCCUUAGGAUCGGAUUGAAAUCUAGCACACAUGCAUACGCUAAGCAUAAUGUCCGGUCUACUAGCACAUAAAUAAAGUAAAGACCCUAUCAUUGACUGGUAUGCUUUUUGAUCAACGGACUUACCUCCUUUGUUGAGGUCGGUGUGUCCGUCGGUUCCCAUCGGAGUCUUUGCGGGCUUGGCAUCCUUCAUCCCAAACCGCUUGAUCAAGUCUUGUGUGUACUUGGUUUGAGAGAUGAAGGUCCCAUCCUUGAGUUGCCUCACUUGGAACCCAAGGAAAUAGCUUAACUCGCCCAUCAUCGACAUCUCGAAUUUCUGCGUCAUCACCCUGCUAAACUCUUCACAAGACUUUUGAUUAGUAGAACCAAAUAUUAUGUCAUCGACAUAAAUUUGGCACACAAAAAGAUCACCAUCGCAAGUCUUAGUGAAAAGAGUUGGAUCGGCUUUCCCAACCUUGAAAGCAUUAGCAAUUAAAAAGUCUCUAAGGCAUUCAUACCAUGCUCUUGGGGCUUGCUUAAGUCCAUAGAGCGCCUUAGAGAGCUUAGACACGUGGUCGGGGUACCGUUCAUCCUCGAAGCCAGGAGGUUGCUCCACGUACACCUCCUCCUUGAUCGGCCCAUUGAGGAAAGCGCUCUUCACAUCCAUUUGGUACAACUUGAAAGAAUGGUGAGCGGCAUAUGCUAGCAAGAUACGAAUUGAUUCUAGCCUAGCCACAGGAGCAAACGUCUCCUCAAAGUCCAAACCUGCGACUUGGGCAUAACCUUUUGCCACAAGUCGAGCCUUGUUCCUCGUCACCACCCCGUGCUCGUCCUGUUUGUUGCGGAACACCCACUUGGUUCCCACAACAUUUUGCUUGGGGCGAGGCACCAGUGUCCAAACUUCAUUUCGCUUGAAGUUGUUGAGUUCCUCCUGCAUGGCCAACACCCAGUCCGGAUCUAGCAGGGCCUCUUCUACCCUGAAAGGCUCAAUAGAAGAGACAAAGGAGUAAUGCUCACAAAAAUUAACUAAUCUUGAACGACUAGUUACUCCCUUGCUAAUAUCACCCAAUAUCUGGUCGACGGGAUGAUCCCUUUGGAUCGUCGCUCGAACUUGGGUUGGAGGUGUCUGAGGUGCUUCUUCCUCUUCAACUUGAACAUCUUGUGCUCCCCCUUGAUCAUGCGCCUCCACUUGAGGUACCUGUUCGUCAUCUUGGGUUGGGGGAUGCACCAUAGUUGAGGAGGACGGUUGAUCUUGCUCCAAUUGUUCCUGUGGUCGUACUUCACCAAUCGCCAUGGUUCGUAUAGCGGCCGUCGGAACAUCUUCUUCAUCUACAUCAUCAAGAUCAACAACUUGCUCUCUUGGAGAGCCAUUAGUCUCAUCAAAUACAACGUCGCUAGAGACUUCAACCAAACCCGAUGAUUUGUUGAAGACCCUAUACGCCUUUGUAUUUGAAUCAUAACCUAACAAAAACCCUUCUACAGCUUUGGGAGCAAAUUUGGAAUUCCUACCCUUCUUCACUAGAAUGUAGCAUUUACUCCCAAAUACACGAAAGUACGAUACGUUGGGUUUGUUACCGGUUAGCAGCUCAUACGACGUCUUCUUGAGGAGGCGAUGAAGAUAGACCCUGUUGAUGGCGUGGCAAGCCGUGUUCACGGCUUCCGACCAAAAGCACUCGGGGGUCUUGUACUCUCCAAGCAUCAUCCUCGCCAUAUCAAUUAGCGUCCUGUUCUUCCUCUCUACCACACCAUUUUGCUGUGGUGUGUAGGGAGCGUAGAACUCGUGCUUGAUCCCUUCCUCCUCAAGGAACUCCUCCACUUGAAGGUUCUUGAAUUCGGACCCGUUGUCGCUCCUUAUCUUCUUCACUUUGAGCUCAAACUCAUUUUGAGCUCUCCUUAGGAAGCGCUUGAGGGUCCCUUGGGUUUCAGUCGUAUCCUGCAAGAAGAACACCCAAGUGAAGCGGGAAAAGUCAUCAACAAUAACUAAACCAUACUUACUUCCUCCUAUGCUUAGAUAGGCGACGGGUCCGAAGAGAUCCAUAUGUAGCAGCUCCAGGGAUCUUGAUGUGGUCAUCACAUUCUUGCUGUGAUGCACUCCUCCCACCUGUUUACCUGCUUGACAAGCUGCACAAGGUCUAUCUUUUUCGAAUUGCACGUUAGUCAAACCUAUCACGUGUUCUCCCUUUAGAAGCUUGUGAAGGUUUUUCAUCCCCACAAGAGCUAAGCGGCGAUGCCACAGCCAGCCCAUGCUAGUCUUAGCUAUUAAGCAUGCAUCUAGACCGGCCUCCUCUUUUGCAAAAUCAACUAAGUAAAGUUUGUCGUCUAAUACACCCUUAAAAGCUAGUGAACCAUCACUUCUUCUAAAGACAGACACAUCUACAUUUGUAAAUAGACAGUUAUAUCCCAUAUUGCAUAAUUGACUAACAGAUAGCAAAUUAUAUCCAAGAGACUCUACUAAAAACACAUUAGAGAUAGAGUGCUCAUUUGAGAUUGCAAUUUUACCUAACCCUUUUACCUUGCCUUGAUUCCCAUCACCGAAUAUUAUUGAAUCUUGGGAAUCUUUGUUUUUGACGUAGGAGGUGAACAUCUUCUUCUCCCCCGUCAUAUGGUUUGUGCAUCCGCUGUCGAUAAUCCAGCUUGAACCCCCGGAUGCAUAAACCUGCAAGGCAAAUUUAGGCUUGGGUCUUAUGUACCCAACUCAUGUUGGGUCCUACAAGGUUAGUGCAAAUAUCCUUAGGGACCCAAAUGCAAGUUUUGUCUCCCUUGCAUUUUGCCCCUAACUUCCUGGCAACUAUUUUCCUAUCCUUUCUACAAAUAGCAAAGGAAGCAUUUAAAGCACGAUAAAUUGUAGAAGGUUCAUUCAUUACUUUCCUAGGAGCAUGAAUAAUAUUCUUUCUAGGCACAUGAUGAAUAGCAUUUCUCCUAGACAUAUUUCUACCAUGCAUAUAGGAAGAACUAGAAGCAAACAUGGCAUGAGAAUCAAAAUCAUCAUAAGCAUUAUAACUCCUAUCAUGGUACAUAAAAGCAUGGUUCCUUUUAGCACUACUAGCCAUAGGAGCCUUCCCUUUCUCCUUGGCGGAGAUAGGAGCCUUAUGGCUUGUCAAGUCCUUGGCUUCCCUCUUGUAGCCAAGUCCAUCCUUAAUUGAGGGGUGUCUACCAAUUGUGUAGGCAUCCCUUGCAAAUUUUAGCUUAUCAAAAUCACUCUUGCUAGUCUUAAGUUGAGCAUUAAGACUAGCCAAUUCAUCAUUAAGUUUGGAAAUUGAAACUAGGUGUUCACUACAAGCAUCAAUGUCAAAAUCUUUACACCUAUUACAAGUUUCAACAAUUUCUACACAAGAUGUUGAUUUACUAGCUAUUUCUAACUUAACAUUCAAAUCAUCAUUAACACUUUUUAAUUUAGAGAUGGAUUCAUGACAAGUAGAUAAUUCACUAGAGAGCAUUUCAUUCCUUUUAAUUUCUAGAGCAAGAGAAUUUUGUGCACUAACAAAUUUAUCAUGCUCCUCAUAUAAAAGAUCCUCUUGUUUUUCUAGUAAUCUAUUCUUGUCAUUCAAAGCAUCAAUCAACUCAUUAAUCUUAUUAAUUUUAGAUCUAUCUAAUCCCUUGAAUAAGCAUGAGUAAUCUAUCUCAUCAUCAUCACUAGACUCAUCCUCACUUGAAGAAGCAUAAGUACUAGUAUCAUGAGUGCUUACUUUCUUCUCCCUUGCCAUGAGGCAAGUGUGACGCUCGUUGGGGAAGAGGGAUGACUUGUUGAAGGCGGUGGCGGCGAGUCCUUCAUUGUCGGAGUCGGAGGAGGAGCAAUCCGAAUCCCACUCCUUUCCGAUAUGUGCCUCGCCCUUGGCCUUCUUGUAAUGCUUCUUCUUCUCCCUUUUGUUCCCCUUUUCCUGGUCACUUUCAUUAUCGGGACAGUUAGCAAUGAAAUGACCAAUCUUACCACAUUUGAAGCACGAGCGCUUCUCCUUUGUCUUGGUCUUGCUUGGCUGUCCCUUGCGACCUUUAAGCGCCGUCUUGAAGCGCUUAAUGAUGAGGGCCAUCUCCUCAUCAUUUAGCCCGGCCGCCUCAACUUGCGCCACCUUGCUCGGUAGCGCCUCCUUGCUCCUCGUUGCCUUGAGAGCAAUGGGUUGAGGCUCAUGAAUGGGACCGUUCAACGCGUCGUCUACGUAUCUCGCCUCCUUGAUCAUCAUUCGCCCGCUUACGAACUUCCCAAGAACUUCUUCGGGAGACAUCUUGGUGUACCUAGGAUUUUCACGAAUAUUGUUCACCAAAUGAGGAUCAAGAAAGGUAAAGGACCUUAGCAUUAGGCGGACGACGUCGUGGUCCGUCCAUCGCGUGCUCCCGUAGCUCCUUAUUUUGUUGAUAAGGGUCUUGAGCCGGUUGUAUGUUUGGGUUGGCUCCUCGCCCCUUAUCAUCGCGAAUCGUCCAAGCUCGCCCUCCACCAACUCCAUCUUGGUGAGCAAGGUGACAUCAUUCCCCUCAUGAGAGAUCUUGAGGGUGUCCCAGAUCUGCUUGGCAUUGUCCAAGCCGCUCACCUUAUGGUACUCGUCCCUGCACAAAGAGGCUAGCAACACAGUAGUAGCUUGUGCAUUUUUAUGAAUCUGUUCAUUAAUAAACAUGGGACUAUCCGUACUAUCAAAGUGCAUUCCACUCUCUACAAUCUCCCAAAUGCUAGGAUGGAGAGAGAACAAGUGACUACGCAUUUUGUGACUCCAAAAUCCGUAGUCCUCUCCAUCAAAAUGAGGAGGUUUACCAAGUGGAAUAGAUAAUAAAUGAGCAUUAGUACUUUGAGGAAUACAAGAGUAAUCAAAAGAAAAGUUCGAAUUGACCGUUUUCUUUUUCUCGUGGUCGUUGUCGUCCUUUUGGGAGGAGGAAGAUUCGUCGCUGUCGUAGUAGACAAUUUCCUUGAUGCGCCUUGUCUUCUUCUUCCUCCCGUCUUUUCUUUUGUGGCCCGAGCCUGAGUCGGUGGGCUUGUCAUCAUUGGGCUCGUUGACGAAGGACUCCUUCUCCUUGUCGUUGAUCACCAUCCCCUUGCCCUUAGGAUCCAUCUCUUCGGGCGGUUAGUCCUUUUCUUGAAGAGAACGGCUCUGAUACCAAUUGAGAGCACCUAGAGGGGGGUGAAUAGGUGAUCCUGUGAGACUUGAAAACUUGAGCCACAAAACUUGGUUAAUCGUUAGCACAGUAAUUGCCAAGUGGCUAAAGAGGAAUCCUCAACAAAACACAAUAACCAACAAAGAUCAAUCACAGAGAUGGCACGGUGGUUAUCCCGUGGUUCGGCCAAGACCAACGCUUGACUACUCCACGUUGUGGCGUCCCAACGGACGAGGGUUGCAAUCAACCCCUCUCAAGCGGUCCAAAGACCCACUUGAAUACCACGGUGUUUUGUUUGCUUUACUCAAUCCCGUUUGCGAGGAAUCUCCACAAAUUUGGAGCCUCUCGCCCUUACACUUGAAAUUCACAAAGAACACGGAGCAAGGGAGGGAUUAGCAACGCACACAAGACACAAGAAUCAGAGUGUCAACACGCACACAAGUCGCAACAAGAGCUCGCAACACAACUCGAUGAGUUCACAACUCCACUAGAGCUCUAUGUGCUAUCACAAUGAAACGAAUGCGCGAAAUCAAUGUCUUGGUGCUUAGGAAUGUUGUAGGAAUGCUUGGUAUCCUUCUCCAUGCGCCUAGGGGUCCCUUUUAUAGCCCCAAGGCAGCUAGGAGCCGUUGAGAGCAAUCAGGGAAGGCAAUUCUUGCCUUCUGUCGUCUGGCGCACCGGACAGUCCGGUGCACACCGGACACUGUCCGGUGCCAGAUUUCUUUCCUUAAAUGGCGAAGCCGACCGUUGGCAGACCUGGAGCCGUUGGCGCACCGGACAGUCCGGUGCCCCCUUCUAGCCGUUGGCUCGGCCACGUGUCCCGCGCAGAUCGCGCGGCCGACCGUUGGCCCGGUCGACCGUUGGCUCACCGGACAGUCCGGUGCACACCGGACAGUCCGGUGAAUUAUAGCCGUACGUCGCCGGUAAAUUCCCGAGAGCGGCCACUUCGCUCGCACCAGCCUGGCGCACCGGACACUGUCCGGUGCACCACCGGACAGUCCGGUGCUCCCAGACUGAGCAGAGUCUUGGCUGCUCGAGCCAAGACAAUUUCAAUUGGAUUUUUCCUGUUUCCAACACUUAGACACAAUAAAUUAGUCCAUAAAACAAUGUACUAAGCCUGAGAAACAUACCUUUAAUCUUGAUUUGCACUUUGUCCAUCCAUGGGCAUAGAUUUACAUUUGAGCACUUGUGUUGUCACUCAAUCACCAAAAUACUUAGAAAUGGCCCAAGGGCACAUUUCCCUUUCAGGUAAAGAUUGUCCCUCUCGACCCCAGCAACGACGCCUGCAAGCAAGUCCGGAUCGGCACUGAGCUCGACCCCAAAUAAGAAGCAGUGCUCGUCGACUUUCUCCGCGCAAACGCCGAAGUUUUUGCGUGGAGUCCCUCGAACAUGCCGGGCAUACCGAGGGAAGUCACCGAGCACUCGCUGGAUAUCCGAGCCGGCGCCCGACCCAUGAAGCAGUCUCUGCGCCGUUUCGACGAAGAAAAGCGCAGAGCCAUAGGCGAGGAGAUCCACAAGCUGAUGGCUGCAGGGUUCAUCAAAGAGGUAUUCCAUCCUGAAUGGUUAGCCAACCCUGUGCUUGUGAAAAAGAAAGGUGGGAAAUGGAGGAUGUGUGUAGACUACACUAGUCUAAACAAAGCAUGUCCGAAGGCUCCCUACCCUCUGCCUCGCAUCGAUCAAAUUGUGGACUCCACUGCUGGGUGUGAAACCCUGUCAUUCCUCGACGCCUACUCAGGCUAUCACCAAAUCAAGAUGAAAGAGUCCGACUAGCUCGCGACUUCUUUCAUCACACCUUUUGGCAUGUACUGCUAUACUACUAUGCCAUUUGGUUUGAGGAAUGCAGGCGCGACAUACCAAAGGUGCAUGAACCACGUGUUCGAAGAGCACAUCGGCCGAACGGUCGAGGCUUACGUCGAUGACAUCGUAGUUAAGACGAGGAAAGCCUCCGACCUUCUCUCUGACCUUGAAAUGACAUUCAAGUGUCUGAGAGCGAAGGGCGUGAAGCUCAACCCCGAGAAGUGUGUCUUCGGAGUCCCCCGAGGCAUGCUCCUGGGGUUCAUCGUCUUCGAGCGGGGCAUCGAGGCCAACCAGGAGAAAAUCGCGGCCAUCACCAACAUGGGGCCUAUCAAAGACUAGAAAGGAGUACAAAGGGUCAUGGGAUGCCUUGCGGCUCUGAGCCGCUUCAUCUCGCGCCUUGGCGAAAAAGGCCUACCCUUGUACCGCCUCUUACGGAAGACCGAGCGCUUCACUUGGACCCCUGAGGCCGAGGAAGCCCUCGGAAACCUAAAGGCGCUCCUUACAAACGUGCCCAUCUUGGUGCCCCCCGCCGCGGGAGAAGCCCUCUUGAUCUACGUAGCCGCAACCACUCAGGUGGUCAGCGCCACGAUCGUAGUCAAGAGACGAGAAGAAGGGCAUGCACUGCUCGUCCAGAGGCCGGUCUACUUCAUCAGUGAAGUGCUAUCCAAGACCAAGAUCCGCUACCCGCAAAUUCAGAAGCUACUGUACACAGUAAUCCUGACGUGGCGAAAGUUGCGACACUACUUCGAGUCUCUUCUGGUGACUGUGGUGUCAUCCUUCCCCCUGGGGGAGAUCAUCCAGUGCCGAGAGGCCUCGGGUAGGAUAGCAAAGUGGGCAGUGGAGAUCAUGGGCGAGACAAUCUCGUUUGCUCCUCGGAAGGCUAUCAAGUCCCAAGUCUUGGCGGACUUCAUGGCUGAAUGGGUCGACACCCAAUUGCCAACAUCUCCGAUCCAACCGGAACUCUGGAUCAUGUAUUUCGAUGGGUCGCUGAUGAAAACAGGAGCCGGCGUGGGCCUGCUCUUCAUCUCACCCCUCAGGAAGCAUCUCCGCUACGUGUUGCGCCUCCAUUUCCCGACGUCAAACAACGUGGACGAGUACGAGGCUCUGGUUAAUGGGUUGCGCAUCGCCAUCGAGCUAGGGGUUCAGCGCCUCAACGCUCGUGGCGACUCGCAGCUUGUCAUUGACCAAGUCAUGAAGAACUCCCACUACCGUGAUCCGAAGAUGGAGGCCUACUGCAACGAAGUUUGAUGCCUGGAAGACAAGUUCUACGGGCUCGAACUCAACCACAUCGCUCGACGGUACAACGAUACUGCGGAUGAGCUGGCUAAAAUAGCCUCGGGGUGGACAACGGUUCCCCCGGACGUCUUCUCCAGAGACAUACAUCAACCCUCUGUCAAGACCGACGACACGCCCGAGCCCGAGAGGCCUCGGCCCAGCCCGAGGUAUCCUCGACCGCCAAGGGUGAGGCACUGCGCGUCGAGGGAGAGCAGAAUGGGGUCAUGCCUAAUCGAAACUGGCAGACCCCGUACCUGCAAUAUCUCCACCGAGGAGAGCUACCCCUCGACAAGACUGAAGCUCGGCGACUGGCGCGGCGUGCCAAGUCGUUCGUCUUACUGGGUGAUGAAAGAAAGCUCUACCACCGCAGCCCCUCAGGCAUUCUCCAACGAUGCAUAUCCAUCACCGAAGGACAGGAGCUACUGCAAGAGAUACACUCGGAGGAUUGCGGUCACCAUGCAGCACCUCGGGCCCUCGUUGGGAACGCCUUUCGACAAGGCUUCUACUGGCCGACCGCGGUGGCCGACGCCACUAGGAUUGUACGCUCCUGCCAAGGGUGUCAAUUCUACGCGAGACAGACGCACCUGCCCGCUCAGGCCCUGCAGACAAUACCCAUCACCUAGUCGUUUGCUGUGUGGGGUCUGGACCUCGUCGGUCCCUUGCAGAAGGCACCCGGGGGCUUCUCGCACCUGCUGGUCGCCAUCGACAAAUUUUCCAAGUGGAUCGAGGUCCGACCCCUAACAAGCAUCAGGUCCGAGCAGGCGGUGGCGUUCUUCACCAACAUCAUCCAUCGCUUUGGGGUCCCGAACUCCAUCAUCACCGACAAUGGCACCCAGUUCACUGGGAAUAAGUUCCUGGACUUCUGCGAGGACCACCACAUCCGUGUGGACUGGGCUACCGUAGCUCACCCCAUGACGAAUGGGCAGGUGGAGCGCGCCAACGACAUGAUUCUGCAGGGACUUAAACCGAGGAUCUACAACGACCUCAACAAGUUCGGCAAACGAUGGAUGAAAGAACAACCCUCGGUGGUCUGGAGUCUAAGGACGACACCAAGCCGGGCCACGGGUUUCUCGCCGUUCUUUCUAGUCUAUGGGGCCGAGGCUAUCUUGUCCAUAGACUUAGAAUACGGUUCCACGAGGACAAAGGCGUACGGCGACCAAAGCAACCAGACCAGCCGAGAAGACUCACUGGACCAGCUGGAAGAGGCUCGGGACGUGGCCUUGCUACACUCAGCGCGGUAUCAGUAGUCUCUGUGACGCUAUCACGCCCGAGGGGUUCGGCCCCGAGGCUUCCAGGUGGGAGACUUGGUACUUCGGCUGCGGCAAGACGCCCGAGUGCGCCACAAGCUUACUCCUCCCUGGGAAGGGUCGUUCAUCAUCACCAAGAUUUUGAAGCCCGGGACAUACCAGCUGGCCAACGAUCAAGGCGAGGUCUACAGCAACGCUUGGAACAUCCAACAGGUACGUCGCUUUUACCCUUAAGAUGUUUCAAGUCGUUCAUAUACCUCGUUCUCUUUACAUACACAAAUAAAGUCUAACCAUCAAGGAAGGGUCAGCCUUGCCUCGACAAAGCCCGACCCUCCCUCGGGGGCUAGAAGGGGGGAACCCCCUCUGCGUCAAAAUUUUCCUCGGAAAAAGUCUUUCUGCCAGAAUGUCUUUCGCGCUUUUCGACUGCUUCGAUAGCGGGAUCCUAAAAACGACGAGAGUACGCGUAAACGGCAAGGCCGACCGAGCCGAGGGACUCCUACGCCUCCGGGAUACGGAUACCUCACUCAUCACCUUCCGCGAUAAGUAACUCAUGCUCGGAUAAGCGAUUCUGCUAACCGAACAAGUCCUAACGCUCGAAAACUUUUCUGCCAGAACGAUUUUCGUGCCUUCUCGACUAUAUCGAUAACAGAAUCCUGCGGACGAGUAAGAGUACACGUAAGCGGCAAGGUCGACCGAGCCGAGGACUCCUACUCCUCCGGGAUACGGAUACCUCACUCAUCACCUUCCGCGAUAAGUAACUCUCGCUCGGAUAAGUGAUUCUGCUACCAACGAACAAGUCCUGAUAUUCUAAACAAGAGGAAAGGAAACACAGCUUUAUAACACGACAAUAAUAUGUUUGGGCCUCGGCGGCCGCGAAAAACAUACGCAUACUAUAGACAAACUGUUUUUGCAGGUUCAGACAUCGACAGAGGGAGCAGCAACACCCUCGGCGUUGUUUCCACCUUCGGCGGGAUCUGGCCCGGCCUCGGACGACGACUCGGGCGGAAGGAUCUCCACCUCGAAGGAAGACACCAGCACCGCGCUUGGGCCAUCGCAGCCAGGGUCUCCGCAAGGGUUCCGACCCGAGCAGACACCUCGACCGGCCGCUCCGUAGCCUCAGCCAGCUGUCCCCCGAGGGCCUCAGCCUGGCUCACAGCCUCGGCAGCGUGACUCUGAGGUUGGUCCCGCUCACGAACGACCUGGCCAAGCUCCAGCCGCCGCUGCUGCACCUCCUCGGUCUGGGAAGCCACCCGCCUUUGGGCCGACGAAGCCUCUUCUCGAGCCAACUCCGCCUCUGUCCAUGCCGACACCGCUGCCUCCGGCUCCAGCUCAUCGCAGAGCGGCCGAAGGUUCUAGAACUGAGCAAGAGAGGCCUUGAGUGGCAAGGCCGACCGAGCCGAGGGACUCCUACGCCUCCGGGAUACGGAUACCUCACUCGUCACCUUCCGCGCAGGGCAACUCACACUCAGUUAAGCAGUUCAGCUAGCCGACAGGCGAGUCCUCAUUAAGACCUCAGAGGAGUCAAACCACUCCUCUGAGGCCUUGGGGGCUACACCCGGCGGGUGCGCUCGCGCGCACCCACUGGAACAAAGUGUAACCGAGAAAGGCCGGUCCCCUCGCAAAAAAGUGCGGCAAAGCCUCCAAGCGAGUACCAGCACUCCCUUUGAGGCUCGGGGGCUACUGUCGGGUACCGUAAUUAGGCGUACCCCCAACACUCCUAAACACGGUUGGUAACCACCAUCAGCACAAGCUGCAGAGACUGAUGGGCGCAAUUCAGGUCAAGGCUUCGUCUACUCAAGGGACGCGAUCUCGCCUCGCCCGAGCCCAGCCUCGGGCAGAAACAGUAGUCCCAGGCGAAUUCACGCCUCGCCCGAGGGCCUCCUCAAGCAACGGGCAGGCUUCGUUGUGAAGCAACCUUGGCCAAAUCGCCUCACCAACCGACCGUAUCGCAGGCACAUUCAAUGCAAUGAUUGCCUGACACCUUAUCCUGACACACGUGCCUCAGUCGGCAGGGUCGAAGUGACCGCAGUCACUUCACCCUUCCACUGACCGACCUGACAGGAAAACAGCGUCGCUCGCCCCUCUCCGACUGUUGUGCCACCCACCAGGGUGAGGCUGACAACAGCUAAGUUCAGCCUCAGGCGCAACAGGAAGCUCCGCCUCGCCCGACCUUGAGCCUCGGCCUCAGGAGGAGGUAUCCGCCUCGCCCGACCCCAGGGCUCGGCCCCCGCCUCGGCCUCGAAAGGUGGUCUCCACCUCGCCUGACCCUAGGGCUCGGCCUCAACCUCGACCUCGGAAGGUGGUCUCCGUCUCGCCCGACCCCAGGGCUCGGCCUCAACCUCGACCUCGGGAGGAAUCGUGUCCUCGCCCGACCUGGCCUCGGCCUCAGGAGGAGUCUCCGCCUCGCCCAACCUUGGGCUCGGACCGACCGCGCCACGGAGGAUGCAUCAUUACCCUACCCCUAGCUAGCUCAGGCUACGGGGGAACAAGACCGGCGUCCCAUCCAGGCUCGCCCCGGUAACAAGUAAUGAUGGCUCCCCGCGUGCGUCCAUGACGACGAUGGUUCUCAGCCCCCUACGGAAGCAAGGAGACAUCAGCAAGGUCCCAGCAGCCCCGAUAGCUGUGGUUCUACAGGGCUCAAGCGCUCCUCCGACGGCCACGAUACCGCGUAUACAGGGCACUAGCACCUCUCCGACAGCCACGUUGGCAUGUACACAGGGCUCAGGCACCUCUCUGUCGGACAUGUUAGCGCAUAGCUACACCCCCAUUGUACACCUGGACCCUCUCCUUGCAUCUAUAAAAGGAAGGUCCAGGGCCCUCAUGCGGGAGGGUCGUCGCGCGGGAGGACGGGCUGACGAACAGGCUCUCUCUCUCUCUCUCUCUCUCUCUCUCUCUCUCUCUCUCUCUCUCUCUCUCUCUCUCCCUCGCGAAUGCUUGUAACCCCUACUGCAAGCGCAUCCCCUGGCGCAGGAUAACAGGAGCCGUGUUUUCCCCCUUGUGUUCCAUCUCGCGCCAACCCAUCUGGGCUGGGACACGCAGCGACAAUUUUACUCGUCGGUCCAGGGACCCCCCGGGGUCGAAACGCCGACAAAUACAUACUGCUCGAUUACGUGGAGGAAUCGAAGGUUGUCGCAUAGGACAGUUCAGCUAGGCCAGGGACCUGCCGACUUGACGGAGAGUUGAUGCAGAUCUGAUCUCGCAGCAACGUCGAGGUAGAGCGUGUUGAUAACGUAUUGAGAACUAUGUUACCACGAAUCACCAGAUCCGCUCCCUUCCCUCCCGUCAGUAGUAGAGGCGCGAGAAGUUGUAGAGGACCCGUCUCCCUUCCCAGAAGCACGACAGAGGAAACACAUGAGACACAGGAUAUAGGGUUGGGCCUCUGGCCUCUUUCUCUUCUCUUCUAUUAUGAGGGGUUGUACAAGUUCUUAUAUAGAGGUGUGAGACCCCUCAGGGGCAAAGCAGGUAUUUGCCCACAUAACCCUAACUAGGGUUACUUAACAAUUUUAUCUCUCUUCGCGCCGCAACCACAGGAAGCACGAAGCCAAAAGCUCGUUUUGUGGCCCGGUUCGAGCCCAUCCCGGCCCGGUCUAUAUGGGCCUAACCUGUCCCGGCACGAAUAAGUGGGCUAGACCUAGAUAACAAAAUAAGUCGUUGUCCCGACUCGUUUAGCACUUGGCCCGCUUUUUUACUAAAUCGUCCUCACCAACCCGUUUUUGGCCUGCUAUUUUCAUGCUUACCAGGACAGUACGGACCGUUUAGGCCCGCUACGGGUCGGACCCGUGCAGCAAAACGAGACCGUGGGCUUGGUAGGUCUAGCCCACUUUUCUAAACGUUCCUGGCGGAUCGGGCCCGGCUGCCAGGCCGUGCUUCACCGAGCGACCCAUUUGGACAUCUAUAGCUGCAACUAGGACAGCACACGCCAUAACGUUUUCCCCUCCCAUUCUCCUACACGUGGCCAAUGGGUCGUGCCAAUUCAAUCGGGCUGAGGCAUUGCGCGAAUAAAUACCGAGUCGUGUCGUGCCCGUUCGUGGGCCGAAGUUUGAGCCCAAACACGGCCCGACUAGUUUUAAACGAGUCGUGUCGGGCUAUCAUAUCGUGUCGUGAUACUGUGCCACGCGCUCCAAGGCCCACCUUGUAACAGAGCUCGAAAAUAACUUGUUUUUCCCUGCUUUUGCUUAUUUUCCUCAUUUUUUGUAAUAGAACUCGAAAAUAGCUUAAAAGUGAGGAUCGAGUUGGUCAUAUUUAUAUAUUUAUAUAUAUAUUGUGGACUAGAUUAGAACAAGUAAGUAUGUACCAUAAACAAGUCGUGCUAGGCUGUCUUUGGUUUGAUAGGCUAUCCGUGGCUAACAUCGUGCUAACUGGGCCCACAUUAAAUGGGCCAUGCUCGUGCCGACCAAUAAGCUUGUACCUAAGCCCAAACAUGACCCAUGACGAGUCUCGUGUCGGUCCGACACAGUUACUAUUGUGCCAUAUUUUGUUCGUGUCAUGCUAAAAUGGUCGUGCCUCGUACCGGUCCGUAUAGCCUGACCUAGAGAUGUCCAAAUGGGCCGCCCGGUCCGGCCCGGCCCGGGCCCGGUGAAGCCCGGCCCGGCCCGGGCCCGGUGAAGCCCGGCCCGCCAGGCACGGGGGCUCAAUUUCCUGUUCGAGCCCGGCCCGCAGCGGGCCUAAACGGGCCGGGCCGACCCGUUUAGCACGAAAAAAAUGGACCGAAAAACGGGCUAUGCGGGCCGGUAAGCACGUUUUAGUGUAAAAAAGCGGGUUUAAUGGGCUUAGAGGUAAACGGGCCGUGCUGGGCUAGCCCACCGUGCCUAGUUUUUGUCCGAGCCCGGCCCGCUUAUUCGUGUCGGGCCGGCCCGGGCCCGUAUAAAACCGGGUCGUGCCAGGCUCAAAUAACGGGCUUCGUGCCGGGCUCGCAGGCCUCGUGCUUAUUGGACAUCUAUAGCCUGACCCAUCUGGUCACAUGUACCCUCUCCCUUCUAUCUUCCCGUGGAGUAGUAGGCUGGUAGCAUCAUUGUAGGUGGGAGGAACAGAGCAUAUAUCUCAUGACCCAUUUCAAAUAGAGUGGAGAAAGUUGAGCGUAAAGAGGCAUAUAUGUUUGUCACCAGAUACAUCUCGUGAGCCUAGCUAGCUUCCAGAUGGCUACGUUUUUAUCGCGAAUUGUGCGUAUGGCCAGAUAAUAAGAGCAACCACUUGUGCGUAUAUAUGCUGUAUGCAUGUAGCAUAUUGAUGUUUGCUAGCUUACGACAGUAUAGCUUAUCACACGUAUACAUUUCCUUCCUGUGCACAACAAUAAAUAUACCAAGCAAUUAUUAUUAUGUGCUUUCAUGUCUGUAUUUUAGACGAAAGGUUUUAUGGGAACUGUAUUGUGUAUUUUCCAUGUGGAAUCUAAAGCCAGCCCAGUUUUUCCUUGACCAUGGAUUCAACAUAAUCUUGACCACCUUUGUGAUGUCGCUGUACACCUACCACUACUACUAGGAGCCUAGCAGGACAAUUAGCUGCUUUUAGGACUACCGAGAUUCGGCACAAUCUUGGCUACCUGCUUUUGUCACACUCUCAUAGUACCAGGAGUUUAAUUCACCUACUUAUAGGACUAUCAUACUAUCAUGAUACAUUGAUACUAUGCAUGGGGCGUAUUUGAGAAGGGUUGCAGACUUUAUGAUUUUAUUUGGGACUAGUUUUGAAACGCAAAUCGUCUUUGAGAUUGAAGAGAAUUGGAGAGGAAAUUAGUUAAUUUUUACCUUAAUCUCCUCCAAUCCUGAAGGGGAUUUGAGGUUCUCAAAUCAGCCCUUGAUGUGGUUCUGCUUUCACACAUCUACCGUUUUAUGUUUAUGCAGCUUUGGGUUUUAUUCAUCCUCUUUCUAUAGUUUCUUGGCUAGGGCAUGCAUGUCAGGAUCAAUAGUGGACAUGGUAUUACAUACUGAAUAUGGAUAUGAGAUAAUUUGAAAAAAAGAACAUCUGAAUAUUUUUAGAUAGACACAGACAAAGUCACUAGAAGUUGAAUUACAAUAAUAUCUGUAUAUUAUUUCUACUACUACUAAAAGGUUUACUGUAGCCAUAAAUCGUCAGACUAAUGGAAAUGACAUGUUCCUUUUUACAAGUUGCCAUUUGAAUCCUUAACUGAAACGGUCAAACGAGCUUGUUCGGUUACAUCAAAAUCCAUUUUAAAUUGGAGGGGACUAGACGUGGGUUUCAAUCUAUAGCAAGUCUAAAUUCUUCAUAAUUAUUUUUAAUACCUUCCAAUCCAUGAGGCAUAUAUACGAGCAACAAGCCCUUUGGUGUUUAAACUUUUACCCAUCUUUGCCUUCUAGGAUAUUUUGGCUUUAGUAAAAAAGCAGCCGUCUUAGAGCAGCACAGCUACGUAUACACGUUUUAGAAAUUAUCAAAUACGGCAUAUCAACUAAUAGUGUUGGUAUGAGUUAAACAACUCCAGCGUGUGAACUCGAUCACUUUCUAGGCUCAGAUGAAUCCCAUGUGUUAAUAAAUAAAAUAUCUCAUCACCCUCGUAACUUUCUCUUUCUGCGGUUAAUCUGUGUUAUUAGGACAAAACAUAUCGCUUCACUUAUAUGAUUAGGUUUGGGUGCAAAAUGGAGCACCAAAAACUAAGGUGGUGAGACUGAGACCAACCCUAGAAUCGUAUAUGUUCUGCUGGCACCACCCUCUAGCACCUAAUGCAAUGCUGCAGCUAGCUAGCUACUCUCUAAUAACACUUGCUUCUAAACAGGUCCUUAAUUAGAGAAUGGAAGUGUUAUAAUGUGAGAGUUGCUUCUACGACAAUAGUCUUAUCUAUGCUAAGAAACUGUGUAGUGCAAUACUGCAAUAUGGUUGGCGUUUCUGCUGCAAUAUAGCUAGUCUCCCGUGCGUUCGAUGUUCCACGUGUUUUUUUUUCUCAUUCUGCAUGCCAUGCCAGCAUGUGAUUUCUGAAGGACGGGAUGGGAUGUUGUUUGUGCCGAUACAUGGACCUGCUUUAUUUCCCUAUUGCUCUUCGCUAGCGUCCAAUUAAUUGCAGGAGAUCCAUGGAUGCGACCUCCAUGCCAGUUGGGACACCGAUCUGAUGAUUCUCAUCAUAGUCUCUUCUCCGAUCGAUCCUAUAUGCUACUAGUGGCCGGGGGUUGUUCUUGGUGUCUACUAGGUGUUGGUGUCAUCGUAGAUAGGCCAGCCAGUCAUCGCCAUCGGCGAAAGCUUCGCCUCGGCGUGCAGUGGCACGCAGCGCGUACAGUAGGGCAGAUGAAGGAGGACGAUGGAUGGAGUGGUCUGAAAAGAAAAGAAAAAAAGAAAGGAAAGAGAUGAAUGAACAGGGAAAAGUCACUUACCGUCCUGCGGCAGGAGAUGAGGUUAGGCCCUGGAGCUCUGUCAUGGCACAACGCCCCCGCCGGCGAUGCGCAUCCCGUGAGCCGCUCACAGGCGCGCGAUUUGGACACCCGGCCCCGCUGCUCGAUCCAUGCAUGCAUCCUCCGAUCCAUCCUCGUCCAGCAGCUGGCUGCUCGAUCCCCAACUGUACGCGUAUGCACGCCAAUGGCAGAGACGACAGCCGAUCGAUGAAUCUGCAAGAGGGUUGCAAGUGUGUGUACGUCAGUACUCACGACAGAUAAUCACUGAUCGUUCGGAAGAUCGACAUCGUGGCGUUGCACUUUACCGGACGAAUAAAGCUAGGAGCAAAGAUCUGUAGAUCAAAUCAAAGCGAACAGGGGAUAUUUCGAUCCCGUGGGGAAGAGACGCACUUUUGGCGAGAGUAACAAUCUCCUGGCCCUAGUUGCUCGAGCGUCGUCAGGAGGUUCUUCCCCUCUCCCUUUUCCGCACACAGGAUUUGCAGCUAGAGAGACGGAGCCGAUUUUCCUGUGAUACUACUACUACUCAGAUACUGUGGGCGCGGGACCAACCCUGCCGCCGGCGCCGCGCCUAUAAAUAGGCCCCCCCGGCCGGGGAGGCGUCGCCACCCACAGCCGCCCAGCCCGUGCGCGCACGACAGUACAAUUAAGUAGGUGUACGUGUGAGUGAUAGCCAUAGCCUAGCUACCCGUGCGAAGUGGCUAGCUGACUGAUCGCUCAGGCUAACUGCCUGCCUGCCUCUUCUUCUUGCGGUAGCGGCUGUAAGCACGCGCGACACAGUGUAACAGUCGGUCGGUCGGUUCGGUUAAAAAGAAGAAGCUUCGACGGCAGAGGCCGUUCCGUACGUCGUCGUUGCUCGCAAUGCCUUGGCGUCUAGCUAGCAGACAGACGGACGCCGCCGCCCCCACGGUAAUGAUCGAUCGUCGUGUCGAUACACGGACACUGCUGCAUGCCUAUAUGCAUGCAUGCACCGGGCCACCGCCGUAGUUCCAAGCAAGUUAAGUGGCUUGAUUUGUACUGUACUGACCUGGACGAGUUGCGUGCUUUUGCAGCGGUGGGGCUCGUCGGAGGGCGGUGACCCGGCGGCGGACGGCGGCGGCGGCGGCGGCGUGGAGGCGCGGAGCGUGCGGUGCGAGUGCUGCGGGAUGGCGGAGGAGUGCACGCCCACGUACAUCGGGCGCGUGCGGGAGCGGUUCCAGGGGAAGUGGGUGUGCGGGCUGUGCGCCGAGGCCGUCAAGGAGCGGCAGGCGCGGGAGCCCGCGCUCGGCGUGGGCGGCGCCGUGGCGGCGCACGCGGCCAUGUGCGAGCGCUUCAACUCCACCGUCCGCCUCAACCCCAAGCUGUCCCUCGCCAGCUCCAUGCGCGACAUAGCGCGCAAGAGCAGCAUGCGCCGGACGAGCCGGAGGAACAGCAUCAACGGCGGCGGCGGCGGCGGCGGCGGCGGCGGCGGCGGCGGCGCCACCGCCACGCCGCUGUCCGCAUGCGGCUGCGACAAGCUCAGCCGCUCCAGCAGCUGCGCGCUCCCCUACGUCUGACACCGGAGAGCAUGCGCGAGCGCGAUCGGCCUCGACGGUGGCGGCGGCGGCGGCAUGCUGCGUCUGCGCUGCUGCCUGCUACUUUACGGCCGGGGGCCUUUAUUAUUACAUAUAAUACAUGCAUGCAUGGACGCAUAUAUAUAGCCCAACGUACUAUAUAUAUAAGUGUUGUAUAGUGGAUACGUACCACUGUCACGCGGCCUACAUGCUGCCAGCGGGACGCAUCAUCAUGGACAUGGUAUAUAUUCAGGUCAGCUACUAGUAGGUAGCAUGCACACAUCCAUGCAUGCUACCGACCAGAAGGAUAUGCAUCAUAGUUGUACGUACUUUGUACGUAUUAGGUAGCAUGAACACAUCCAUAUAUCCAUACUGUUGUAUUAUACUCCAGCUGCGUACUGUGAUGUAAGUAUAUAUAUACAAACAUACGUUUGUUCUUGUUCGUCGACUUGGUUCGCAUCCGAUCCAGGUACUAUAUAUUUACAUGUUCAACCUCCGUGUCUCUGAGUCGACUUGCUACGUACUGUAUGUGCAUUUCAGCACAGACCCGGGUUGUGUUGGCGACUUGGUGUUGACUCCAGACAUUAUGGUCUUACGGAAUGAAGCCAGGCUCGCAAAGCGUAACUGGGUCGGGCUCGUAUUGGGCCAAGAAACUGAAGAGGAGGCUGUACUGUGGUGGGCCAAAACAUGAGGCGUGAAAGAGGAUCAUAGUCAAAUUCUGAGCAGGAGUAACUUGCUAUUACUAAUAAUGGACGAAUUGAGCUCAACUCAAAAUGUUUUUUGCUCACACACAGCUUAUAUAUGGCCGAUAUGCCCCGCGCGGCCGCCGGCAUGGCCUCAACUUAAGGAUAGUGCGGGAGUGUCAGGGCAUCUGAUAUGUCCUCGAGAAAAAAAGUAGUUUGGCACAUCAUCGUAGUUUAGAGGGGAACAUGUGACUUCAGGCAAAAGGAGGGUGAUGCUUCUGAAACUGGGCUUACAGCAGCCUAUAUAUACCUUCCAUUGACACAGUGUCCUAUGAAGAAAUUCCAAAAUACUUUCAAGGAACAACUGAUGCUAUUAAAAUGUGGUAAAUUAAUCAUGUACUUUUUAAUUUUUAUAUUUUAAGUUAAAAAAAUUGUGCCUCACUCUGGGCCCUAGCCCAGGUGCCCACAGCCCUGUAUCUUGUGUGUGUACGCUUGAUUUGGGCCUAUGAUUAAGGGUCCGUUCGUUUGUAACGGUUUCAAUCCUAGCCUGAACCCUUCCAGGGCAAGGAUCAAGUGAAUUCAGUUGGUUCACUGAAACCUGGUCACCAGUGAAAUUCAGACAUGAACGAAAAUUGUAGAACAUAUGAUGGUUGUUUGUUUCAAGCAGGAAUAGAAACACUUGUUUCACAACAAAACUGAUAUUAUCUCGUGACGUGUAGUUGUCUCGCCUCGCCAAGAUUCGAUUCGGAGGGGCACGCGACCGGGAUUGGUACCGAGCCUGCGAGGGAAGGAGAAACUCUGAACCGAAGCAGAUUCGUUUUUAAUUCGGAUCGAAACAAACAGUAAGAAAUGGAACGACCCAAGUACAAAUCGGGCCGAUUGUUUCCAUCUGGAAUGAGGCUUGGAACAGACUGAACCGCCAGAAACGAACACGCCGCCCUAAGUUGGUAGAAGACUCAACAGAAACUCUUCCACGGAGAGCCUAACCUUAUCAGAAUCUUUAUUCACUUGCAAACUAACCCGUGACAAAAUAUGAUUGAGGGCAUAUUUGUAAAGACGAGCACCAAAAAACUAGAGCAGGAGCAUCUAAAUUAGGUUGAUUAGGAAACCUUAUGGUGAAAACCUAGACUCUAGUACUUGGAACAAAGAAAUGAGUGGGGGCAUGUGCCCUCACUCGGUCCUACUUAUUGAUUACAGUAACAAGACACCGGACAAAUUGAAGUGUGGCUGGACAUGUUUGGUUGAGACUUUACCUUAUGCAAGUUUGACCAAUUUGACAAGUGUUUAGUUCACAACUGAACUUUUGCAAUAUUAUUGUAGAUUCCAUAUAUCAUAGAGUAAAAAGGUAUGGUAAAAUUCUUUUAGAGCUAGUUUGAGAAACCCAUUUUUCCAAGGGAUUAAUAUUUUUUCAAGGAAAAUUAAUUCAUUUUCCUUGGGAAAAUAGGGUUCCAAACUAGCUCUUAGUCAUAGCAAAUAAAUGUGGCUCCAAAUUUUCUACCACACUUCUAUGACCUGGCAGACUUACCUAUUUUGAGUCGUGGUAAAUUGUAGCUAGAACCAAACACGCUGAAAAUUCUGCCCAACAGACAGGUCUGUGUAAUCUCUUGCUGAUCAGUCACUCACUUGGUCAUCACCCCGGCGGGCACCUGUCGCCGUUAUGGGUCUAGAUCCAGACAGACUUCAAUGAGCCAAGCAAAUAUCUGGCUGAAGCUUACACUCCCCAGGAAAAAAAAACAGUAUCCAAAUUGUGGAGCCAUACACGCAAUGCAUGUUUUACAUGCCUGGAUUUAGGAGUAGACAUUUGUAGAGUUAGUUGCACACAACUUUCAGCAAGAAUCUGAGUCGUUAUUGCUUAACAAACUGUAUCGAGUAUGACAGAAACUUCGAGCUGUACUGUGCAUGAGCAAUAUACUUGGGGAAGCGAAGAGUAUUUUUGUAAUCGUGUUUUUAUUACAUCAAAAUUGAUUCAGGGUUUUGUUGAAUCCUGAGGGAGUGUAGGCUCGUAUGAUUAGGGAUGGAGGCUACCACGUUGACGGGAAGAUCAGUCGGGGCUGCACAAAUCGAGCCUGCUGCACUUCUGCCUGGAAGAAGAAAAUGCUUGUUGAGCAGAGAAUUAACUUUUUAAAAUGGCAACAAAGAAGGUGGCGGAUGUGGCGCACGAGCGCCGUAUAACAAUUUGAAACGGCCACCGUUAAUGUCGCCUCCUGCUGCCUUUAAAUACCUUUCCCUCCCACCUCCUCUCCAGUCAUUCGUUCCAUCCCUUCACCACACACACACCGUCGAUUCCUGGGCGACAAGGCCACACACGAUCGCCGGCAGUUUCCGAAACGAGAAAAAGGAAGAAACAGGAGGCGAGAGAUCGAGAUCGAUGAGCAGCGGUCAGUCGUCGCCAACGGAGGCAAGCGGUGGACCGCCAUGCCCCUCCAAGAAGCUGUGGCGCGGGGUGCAAGCCGUCUACCUCGUCCUCGUCAAGAAGCACCAGCCGAAGCUCGCGGCGCUCGGCGUCCACAUGCACCGCCUCCUCUCCAGCAGCAAGCGCCGCCGCCGCCUCGCCGCGCGGGGGCGGGAGCAGAACCCGGCGCUGACGUACAUGUCGUGCCGGUCCAUGGACCCCGCUGCCGCGGUGGUGCACCCGUAUCCGCACGGCCACGGCCGCGCGUCGUCGAGGCUCGCGGCCCCGUCGUCCCUGUCGUGCCGGUCCUUGGACCCCGCCGCCGCCGUGCGCAGCAAGUACCAGUACCGUCCCCGCGAGGUGGAGUUCAGCUGCAAGAGCACGCCGAUGCACACGCGCCGGCGCCGCCUGCGCCUGCAUCAGAGCCGCGGCCACCCGUCGGAGCCGGAGCCGGAGCCGGAGCGGCACGUCUCGGCCGCGGCGGUGACGAGGCUGUUCGCGCUCAUGGACGACGUCGAGGUCGAGGAGGCGGCGGACGGCGAUCUGGGGCUGGGCCUGGACGCCCCGGCGCCGCGUCAGGUGCGGAUCACGGACUCGCCGUACCUGGCGAGGGAGGAGGACAAUAACGAGGAAUUGAGGAGCGCGGUGGACAGGCGCGCCGGCGAGUUCAUCAUGUGGUUCCACGAGCAGCUGCGGACGCAGCAGCAGCACGGGCAGCUGGGUCAGAUAAGGUAGGGGCGCAGAAGAGAAGCAGUGCCAUUGCCGCCUCUAGUCUAGUCUUAUGGUUUUGUUGUGAUUGUGAUUAUUAGUCAUGUAUGCAUGGAUUACGUGUAUUAGAUAAGGGUACAUUCCUUGGAGGAGAUGCGAACAUUUUCAUACGGCAGUAGUACUUUUUUUUUCCUUUCAUGUAUAUGAAUUGCAGUGCUUGAUUUUUUUUAUUUAUUUUUUGCUACCUUCAAGAUCGACUUGAACAAUAAUGAACACAACACUCGUUGCAUUGGACUUGUUUGUCAUUCUUUCAGUUUUUCUUAUUAGGACUUGCUACUUGGGUUCUACGUUUCCAUGCAUAUAUAUAUAGGUGAGGGCUAAAUGUGUGCUGAAAUAAACGCAUUUUAUUUGUGUUUAGGAUUGCCGGCCCGAUGGAGGAGUUGAGUGGGCUCGGUUUGGUUCCGGUGUUGUGGAAGAAAACCGCAGUUUUAAUUUGCAGUCAAUUUUGUCGCCUAUAAAUAAUGCUGGUGUUGCAGAGGAAGCCGCGUGCAUGCUUUCCUGAAUGAAAUUUGCAUUGCACUGGAAUUUGUGUCGGCUUCAGGGUAACCCACGUACGUUGGUACGACACAUAAACAACAGCAAGUGAACAAGGCACUGCCUCCGUUGAUCAUUUCCGAUCUGCGAUCCCUAGCUAGCAUUUGAGCACCAACCAAGUGAGGAAAUAAUUGAGCAGGUUUGGAGAAAGAAAUUCAGGGCUUUGGAGAGGAAGAAUUUGCACGAUAUUUGGCCCAAGUCGUGAACCAGCACACGUCGCGUCAACCAUCGUUGUCGCUACCUAUCGCCAGCAUCAUUCAUUUCGUUGCAGAGACGCGCCACCAGGCACAGUUCAACCUUGGCUGCCUCCCAGUCCCAGGAGUUGAUGAGCGGAAAGGGAUCGGCACAACUGGAUACCGCGCAAGCUAGGACGCGUUGCUCUCGGCACGCGCUGGGCCGGAACGCGGUCUCGGACGCAAAAGCGAACGGCUAGACAGACACGACACGACCCGACCCGACCCAAACCCGGGAUGAAGAAAUGCCAUUCAAACAGCCACCACAAAGCAAUCCUAGCUUGUUCGAAAGCAACGUCCGAAAUCUGCAACUGGUUCCAGUUCCAGAUUUGCUCCUGCUGCGUUUCAUAGAAAUGCCGCGCAACAGCAUCGGGUGCAGCUGGCUGGAACUCAGAACCAGGGACCAGCGCGUAGCAGAUUACAGUUGCUCACGGUGUCUGCACCAUUUUCUAGGGCGGAAAUGUUCGCAUGUGGUCCUGUCAUCCAUCCGGCCUGGCCACCGAGACGUCGGUCGGACCUGCUGUUCUACUACCCGGGCCAGCCUUACAGCUCCUGGCGGAUAAAUAGAACGACGCCGCGACGACCGGGAGCCGGAGGAGAGGGACGAGGGCGGCGGAGGAUGCCUUCUCUUCUCUCCGCUGGGAAAAUUCAAAAGGUUCAAAGAACAGGAAAAAAAAUAAAAGUUGAAAGAAAAUUCAAAAAAUCAAAUCGCCCACCGUGGGGCUCGAACCCACGACCACAAGGUUAAGAGCCUUGCGCUCUACCGACUGAGCUAGACGGGCAUUUUGCUUUAGAGCAUUACACAAGGCUAUUAGUUCAAUACCGCACCUGUAUAUUACAGUGAAAAAAAGCUAUGUGAAUAUCUAUAUAAACGAUAACAAAAAACAGUACGUAUACAUUCUACCCUUUCUAUAAAAUUUUAAUAGUUAUAAUCUAUUUUAUAUUAAUAAUAGUAUCUUUAAUAUAACUUAACAGCUCUUGGUAGUAACUCAACAUUUUUUUAUAAGCAUAUAUCAAACUAAAUAUUAUAAUUUCGAUAGUUUUUUUUCUGUUGCAAAGUACAGAAAUAUUUAUCGACAAAUAUAUUUUAGAUACUAUCUGUCUCUCCGUACAAUCAAAUAUCGAGUCUUGUGGCUUUUUUUAGGCUCUAUACAAAUAUGUAGUUUUAAUAGCCAACUAAAGUUGGUAUCGUGUUAGUUGUGGACAUGUCAAUGAUUAAGACUGCAGAAAGAACGGGAUAGAACAAACCGGAACGGAGGUACUUGUGUAAAACAAAGUCGUUCACGUCGGACGGCUACAUAAGCUGACGCGCAAGUGUUAGCGUCCAUGGAGGAGCUGGAAGAAUGCUGAAUGGAGAAGUGGAUCACGGGACGGCUCCCAGGAGAGCCCAGCGAGUGAGACGGCCCAACAUCCGUUAUUCGGGAGAUGAGUGGUCCAAGUGAAUUUGGAGCCCAAGUGGCCCUGUAAACACAUACGUGUAAUAAGGUGACUUGGCCGAGGGGAAAGACCUCAGACCACGAACAGAACUGAACCAGAACACGGCUGUGACGACGGCGGCGAUCAGUUUUGACGCUGGCCGGAGUGAAACUGUGAGCGUGAUAUCGUGAGUCUAACAUCUGGUAUUCGGAGCGAGGCUGGAGCCCACGCACGACUACUUCACCCGAGCUCAGGCGAAGGGCGUAGCAAUGGCGCCGCCGCGGAACGAAGACCCGAUGGCGCAGAUCAUGGCUAAAAUUGAGGAAGGUAACAAGGAGACCCAUCGGCGUAUGGAGACCGUCCAAGCCUCCCUGGCAACAGUUGAGGCGACGAUGAAAGGCAUGAUAAAGGAACAAGGUGAAUUCCGGAAAUGGCGACCGGAGGUGGAGAUGAAGGUCACGGAGGUGGCAGAGGCGUUGAAGACAAUCCAGGCAAAGGUGGAUCAAUUCGGACCAUCAUCAUCGACGGAGCCCCUUCCUGACGGGAAACAAACGAAGAAGGGUGUGCCGAUCUCCGUUCAACUGGAGAUCCCGCCGGUCGACGCGACGAACGGGCAAUUUCGCCACCGCUUUGCUGAAAACCACCGGAGGCCGGGUGUUGAGGAGAAUCUCCGAACACCCGCUCCGGUCGGAGGUAUGCCAAUCCCUCCUGAGACCUUUACUCCGUUCUUCGAUUGGGGAUCAUUAGGCCGGAACUCAGUAGCCAAUUGGUCACAGAUGAGUGGCCCAACUAUGCCCAAUAUGGUGUUCCCUGUUUUUUAUGGAUCCAACCCAAAGCUCUGGAAACACAGAUGCGAGACCUAUUUUGAUUUCUAUGCUGUGCCUUUUGAGAAAUGGGUUAGAAUUGCUACUAUGCAUUUUGAGGGUCCUGCCAUGUAUUGGGUUCAGUCUAUGGAGCACAGAAUCAGGGAACUGAGUUGGGAAGCGCUCUGUGCUACGCUGAACACUAGGUUUGGUAGAGAUCAGCAUAACCUGCUUAUUAGACACUUCUAUCACAUCCACCAAACCAACUCAGUAGCUGAAUAUGUAGAACAAUUCGACCAGCUUAUGCAUCAAUUAUUAGCCCAUGAGAACCACCUCACUUCCACUAUGAUCACUGGUCGGUUUGUAGAUGGGUUGAAAGACGAGAUUAAAAGUGCUGUAAUUAUUCAGCGUCCAUCCGAUUGGGAUACUGCUUGUUCCCUGGCUUUAUUGCAGGAGGAUGUGCUGCUGCACUCGGGGCGAAGAGAUGGUCGAAGAACUGAAUUUGGUGCUUAUUCCAGCCGACCGUCAGUUAAGCCAACGCCUAUGCCACUACCCUUACCACCAUUGGGGGGCAACAGGGCGGUGAGCAACACUGAAGAACGUCGAGGCCAUGGACCACAACAAGGCAGAAGAGAUGAGGGCAAGCUAUCAGCUCUGAAGGCGUACAGAAAGGCUAAAGGACUGUGUUUCAAGUGUGGGAACAAAUGGGGCUAUGAACACCGCUGCUCAACUAAUGUUCCUCUGUACUUGGUGGAAGAAAUGUGGGAAUUGGUUGUCAAUGAAGAGGAGAAGCUGGAGGACUGUAUCGGGGACAGUAAGGAAACUAAUGAAGACAGUGUGCUAGCAUUGUCUGCUGCUGCUGCUGAGGGUGGUGAGGGCAGCAGGACUAUCCGACUUUGGGCUUCAGUUUAUUGUCAACAAUUGCUGGUGCUAGUAGAUUCAGGCAGCUCUGCUAGUUUUCUGGGAAGUCACUUGAUGAAUGUCUUACCAGGGAUUCAGCUGUUGACCAAGCCAAUGCAAGUUAAAGUAGCAGAUGGGGGAAUUCUUUGGAGCCAACACUGGUUGCCAAACUGCAAAUGGUUGUGUGGAGGCACCACUUUUACAACGGAUUUCAAAUUCAUUCCCCUAGGGGGUUACGACAUGAUUCUUGGCAUGGACUGGCUAGAACGCCACUGUCCUAUGUCAGUUCACUGGGCUGCAAAAUGGAUGGAGUUUGAUUAUGAUAAGAAGAGAGUUCACGUGCAGGGUGUGUUACCAAAGGUUCAGACCUGUUACAGCCUGAACGGGGAACAGUUGGGUUUCAUGAUAAAGCAAGAAGCAGUGCAACAUUGGUUGGAAUUGCAGACUGUAACUGAAUUGAUUGUUAAAAAUACCCCAGAAGCUGUGCAGAAAUUAUUGGAACAAUAUCAGCACUUGUUUCUCCGGCCAGACAGCCUGCCACCGAAAAGACAGGUUGACCACGCCAUUGAAUUGUUACCUGGAGCACAACCAUUUAGGCUUCGACCUUAUCGGUACACCUGUAAUACUCAAAAGUGAAAUAAAGGGAUUGAUAUAAUCUCAAUAGCUU
rnacentral:lncRNA from 1 species